UUCUGUCUUUGCAUGCUUGCAGCUAUAUUGUUGUGCUUCCCACUGCAUUAAUCUUUCAAUAUUUCAUGCUAAGUAAUAGGUGAAUAAAGUGAUAAUCAGGGAAGCAGAGAGAUAUUUAUGACAAUGCAUACUUGACCAGCCAAAUAGAAAAUUAUGAUAUAUAAAUCACAGAAAUUUUAUUUGAAGUAAGAAGAAGCUCCUGACUCGAGUUCUAGCAACCUCUCCUCGUCUACGUUUAGCAGAGGGAGAAUAUCGUACAGGACUAAAGGUAACACAACUGGAGGAGGUUAUGCAUACAAGAAAGCUAAGUGAUUAAUCAAUAGGUCUUUAAAACGGAACUGGUUUACCCUUAGGGUAAUCGACAUAAACCCUCCCCUUGUAGCGUUGAGCUGCCUCGUUGCUGUUGAUAACUUCUGUUGCAGGAACAUCGUAAUAUGUGGGAUGAGCAUAGGGAACCUGCAUAACUGGUGGCCGCCUCUUGGCCCGGACGAAGUGCUCAUCAAUGGUUGCAAAACCCUCCUGCCCAAUCUUAACAAGACGAUCUGCCUGACGUGCCAUGUUAACUACAAUUAAUCAACACACAAAGACAAGUAGCUGUUUAUAGGUUUUGUUGGUUUUCUUGCUUUGGCUAAUAUGUAGGAGGCCAAGCCACCUUUAUAUAGAAAGGAAAGGUUUGGUUGACAACAGCUGUGAAAUGAAUAAUGUUAGACAGUACUCCUUUUUGUAAUAAAAGCACCCAACAUUUGUGUACGAUAAUACUAACCAUUGCAGAGAGAAAAAUCAAUAGAUUUUCUUCAUCUUAUCACUACUAACGAUAAAACCACCAUAAAAUGAAAAAAAAAGUCAUCAAAAGUUUAUCAAUAUCAAAUUUACACACACAAAAAAAAAAAAAACUAUUAUAUUUGGAUGUUUUCAAUACUUAAUAAAUUUUAUAUAUAAGAAAAUUUUACUGGUUUUUUUUUGUCGUCCGAUGACCAUCGAGGACAAAACCAUCACCAAGAGUUUAUUAUUAUCGACUUUGGAUUAGAAUUGAAUGUUCUAAAUACUUAGUAAAUUCAAAAAUAAGGAACGCAAACAUUGCUUAUGAACAACUGUUGUCAGCCAAUCAUUAGAGCCACUUUUAUGAAUUUGUGCUGGGCAUGUGAUCAUGUGAUUAAAGAAAACAAAAGCUUCCCUUCUUUUGGACUAAUGCUGUUUCUACCGGUCAGGAAUCAAGUCGGGUCCAAAAGCAGGAGUAGCAAAAACACUAAACCUUCUCAAAAGCCAAUUAUGAAAGAAUAUUCCUUCUGUUCUCUAAUCAGAAUAAUCUCAGUUUAAUUAUGUGACGAUAUUAUAGUUUCUAAUUAAUGGCAAUAAGCACAAUCGGGAUGAGGAUUUCAACUGCACUUGACAUUAUUUUUUGCUUCUGGCCGUUCUUAAUCCCAGAGCCCUUCUUAACAGUUAUAUUAGGGGUACGCUAGUAUUAUCUGACCUUGAUCUCGGCAUUGGAUAACCUCAAGCAAUGUUUGUUCAAGAACAGCAAGCAACUGUUGUCUCGGAACCUCAUAUGUAAACAAAAGGGAAACUUAAACCAAAUGAAAAUCCUUAACAGAAUUACCGAAUCCCAGUCCAAUUACAAGUGAAAAAAAUUAAAAGGCAAUUUGUAGGAAAAACUCAAUGAUCUCUGAGCCAAGCCCCCGCACGGUAUUCCAAGCUUAUUUUACAGAAUAUUAACUCACCCUAGUUUUUUUUUUUCUUCCAAAAAACUAUAAAAGAAUAGAAUUAUGGUCUUAAUGAGCACAAAUGGCAAACAAAUGGCCUUCAGUACAUUUGAAUAACGAUUCAGUACUUAGUGGCACAAAGGUUCUCUCUAGUGCCAAGUUCAAUUAUUGUAAAAUUGAUUCCUUCCAACUUGUUUCCUAGAAUCUGAUUCCUUAUAACUAAACUUUUCCUUUCCAAUUUAUUUUCAUAAUCUUUUUUUUUUUGCUUUAACUGAUCUUGAUUCUCUCUGAAACUAGAUAUCUUUAUUUCUUACUCUAGUUAACUUCAUGACAUAAUCAAUGUGACGCAACCUGACCACCUCAUCCUAACAAAAAAUCUAUUUACAAACCAUCUAGGUGGUGGUCCAGUGGUAAGAGUUUGGGACCAAGAGGUUUGCUCCCUCUGUGGUCUUAGGUUCGAGCCCUGUGAUUGUUCAUAUGAUGGCCACUAGAGACUUACAUGGUCGUUAACUUCAGGGCCUGUGGGAUUAGUCAAGGUGCGCGCAAGCUGGCCCGGACACCCACGUUAAACUAAAAAAAUAUAUAUAUAUAUUUACAUCUCAAAUCCGAGUAACCAAGUUGCUUGCAUUAAACAUUUUGGUUUAAUAGAGAAUGGAAUUUUGGUCAAAAAGUUGCCUCAGAUUCUAUUCUUUGACAUAGACAAAUUGACCAUAUAAUAAUCAUAAAUAUAACUGUGUAUGAAAAAUAAUAAUAAUAAUAAUAAUAACGAAAACAAUAACAAUAAUAAUAAUUUGAUAAUGGAAUUUUGGUCAAAAAGUUGCCUCAGAUUCUCUCCGAAACUAGGUAUCUUUAUUUCACAUCUCAAAUCCGCGUAAACAUGUUGCUUGCAUUAAACCCCAAUAUUGAAGGAAUAAUAGAGAAUGGAAUUUUGGUCAAAAAGUUGCCUCAGAUUCUAUUCUUUGACAUAGACAAAUUGACCAUAUAAUAAUCAUAAAUAUAAUUGUGUAUGAAAAUUAAUAAUAAUAAUAAUAAUUUUAGGAAGUUUUUUUCAACCAACAAAACUUCAAAAAAAAAAGAAUCUGGUGCAACCUAAGAAAGAUAUGGGAGAAGCAGUCUAUAUACUGAAAAUAAAAAUCUACAAGGAUAGAUCUAGAAAGUUGCUUUAACUGUCUCAAUCUACAUAUAUAGAUAAGAUGUUGAAACAAUUUAGUAGCUUUAUCUUUUUGUGGGUUGUUGUUGCUAUCUUGCUUAAGGUUUUAGCUAGAACUAGGUGUUGUUGUUGAUAAUUGUAGGGUUGUUAUGUGGUGGUUUGUUUUUAGGUGUUGAAGGUUGAUUUCUAAGCAGCCUAUGGUUGGUUCUAGCCAAUGGUAAAGACCGGUCUAGUUCUCCACAAUAUCAUUCAUUCUUUUCCAUUUUUUUAGCAAAUCAAAAUAGGACUAAGAAGGGGAUGAUGUUUCAAGAUUGAGAUUUUAAGUUAACCGAGUUGAAGGUAAUAUUUUGGUUCUUGUUAAAUGGGAUUGUAGGAUUGAGAUCUCAAGUUGACCGAGCUAAAGACAAAGACUAAGGUUCUAGUUAAAGAGGGGUCUCUAAAUUGAGAUUUUAGGUUAACCGAGUUGAAGACAACAUUUUGGUUAUGGUUAAAGGGAAUCGCUUGAUUAAAGGGAGUCACUAGAUUGAGAUUUCAGGUUAACCAAACUAAAAGAAACAUUUUAGUUCUAGUUAAAUAGGAUUGUCGGAUUGGGAUCUCAGGUUGAUCAAGCUAAAGACAAAGACCAAGGUUCUAGUUAAAGGGGUUCUCUAUAUUGAGAUUUUAGGUUAACCAAGCUUAAAACAACAUUUUGGUUCUGGUUAAAAGAAAUCAUCAUAUUGGGAUUUCAGGUUGGCCGAGCUGAAGACAAAGACCAAGGUUCUAGUUAAAGGGGGUCUCUAAAUUGAUAUUUCAGGUUAAACAAGCUGAAGGUGACAUUUUGGUUCUACUUAAAGGGAAUGGCUAGAUUAGGAUCUCAAGUUGACUGAGCUAAAGACAAAGAUCAAGGUUAUGAUUAAAGGGGAUCUGUAGAUUGAGAUUUCAGGUUAACCAAGCUGAAGGUGACAUUUUAGUUUUGGUUAAAGGAAAUCACUAGAUUGGGAUCUCAGGUUGACCGAGCUAAGGAAAAAAACUAAGGUUUUGGUUAAAGGGGGUCUCUAGAUUGAGAUUUCACAUUAACUAAGCUAAAGGCGACAUUUUGGUUCUUAUUAAAGAGAAUCAUCGUAUUGGGAUUUCAGGUUGACCAACUUAACGACAAAGACCAAUGUUUUGGUUAAAGUGAAUCGCUAUAUUGGGAUUUCAGGUUACCGAGCUACUUUUCAUAUUUUAGUUCUAGUUAAAGAGGAUCGCCAAAUUGGGAUCUCAGGUUAACCGAACUUUUGGCAAUGAUUUUGGUUUUGGAUUAAGGAAAUCACUAGAUUGAGAUUUCAAGAUAACCAAGUUGUACACAGUUUGAUCGUAGUUUCCGUUGAUGGGGAUUGCUACGAAAACAAAGUUUCAGGUCAACCGAACUAAAAGCUUUGAGAAGAACAGUUCGUUAGUCAAGCACAUAACAAGUCUUUGUUCCAUAAGUAUUGUAAAGAAGGAGCAUCUAUUGCUACCUCAUAUUUUUACUCAAUUUUAAAAGAUUUAAAAAAAAAACCCAAAAAAAUAUGUUUUUAAUGUAUUUGCGUCAUUUUCAAUGUCUUUUUCAAAGAAUUCAAAAUACAAAAAUCUAUGUUCAACACAUUUAGUUGUUAAUGUGCUUAUUAAGUCAACAUUGAUAUUGCUCUUUUUCAAAAAAAUCAAAAUACAAAAAAAAAAUUAAAUUGAACAAAGGGACCAAAUGUGAAAAGAAAGAAGUUGAGGGACUAAAUUAUUUUUGGGUUAACUUGGUCACUAAGUUUGCUUGGAGACCAAGCAAUUGAAAAAAACAAACUUGUUUUGCCUAUAAAUAGGUGGUUGCACUACACAAAAAAAAAAGUGAGUUUUGGGGUAGAGAGCAUUAGCAAAAAAAAAAAGGAGUGAAUUAGUUAAAGAGGCUAACAAAAAAUCACUAGAAACAAACCUUCUAUCUCUAGAAAAAAAAAGCAAAAACAAAAACAUGACCUCCACCCAUUCCAUCUUCCAUACACUUAUCUUCUUCUUCCUCACGGUCCAAAAAAAAAGCCUAGCCCCAUUAUACUGAAACCUAGCAGCCAACAAAGAUUACCUUCUUCCUUAAGCCCGCUGCCUUUUGUUCUUUCCUUUAGACCAGCACCAACCCAAACCUAUCUCACUCCCCCAGCCUUUCUAUCAAUUAACUCUUGAUCGAUCCUUUUUAAUGGAAGGGGUGUAUGUGUAAUAAACUUACUGGCAUUGCUUGGCGAAAACAAAGACAUCGUUUACAUUGUGGAGUCUAGCUUUGGAGUUAAUUUCGACCAGACCAUAGUGGGGAUCUACUCUGAUUCCUCUGUCGGUGGUGUCAUACCAAUAAUAUUUGAAUAAAAACACUCUAUUAUGCUCGCUAUGAUAUUGCAAUUCAACGACCUCUUCUAAUUUACCAUAAUAGUCAACUUUAAACUCAUUACAAGUCGAUCCCCUAACACAAACACCACUGUUAUAUGUCUUUCUUUCAUGCCCGUAUUCUUCGGUAUGAAACACAUAUCCAAUGACAAAAUACCCAUUGUAGCACUUUACUUUUCUUUCAGGACCCAGGCUUAGUAAAGAUAUUGAAACACUAGCAGUCCUUCCCAUUUGAUAAACCUUGUACAUCAAGUACAACAAUGAACAAUAAACGAGAAUUCUGUAACGAAAUUAAGUACCAUGAUAGAUAAUGAGUUUUUGAUAGUACUUACAUGUGUUUUGAACCAUGUGGCAAAUUGUUCAUCUUAUAAUCUAAAGAUUUGGGAUUUGGUCAGGUGUGAGUUAUUAGACAAUAAAUAUUGUCGAUGUUGCCUACAAGGUUUUUAAAAUUGUAUGAGUUUGUGAUAUUACAAUAGAUAAAUAGUCCAUUUAUAACAAAGUUUAAGUAGUAUAUAUACUUACUGAAUAAAAGGUCUCAAUUCAUCACAAUUAAAUAACAUAUAAUUGUGUGCUUGUUGGAACUCUAUUUUAGACAAAUAUCUUCCCCUUACAACAUUAUUAGGUGUGGGUCAUCCAAGAUUGGAGAAUAUUAACAAGUUCCCACUUGAAGGCACUUCACCACCAUCAUUAUGUCGUGGAACGUGGUUGAUUCUCGUUCUUAAAUGAGGCUCAAAAUAGUACGAGAUAAAUGUUGAGAUCUCCUCAAUAAUAUAGGCCUCACAUAUCGAAGCCUCAACAUGCGCCUUGUUCUUAACCUUUUUCUUAAGAUUAAACAAGUACCUGCUUUGAAUUAAACAAAUAUUUUCAAUUAAGAAAAACAAUGAAAAUACAUUAAUCAUUACAUUGCAUCUGUAAUAUCUAACCUCUCGAAUAGAUACAUCCAUCUACACUGGACUUGGCCUUCAACUUUUGCCUCGUACGGUAAAUGCAUGGGUAGAUGCUCCAUCCAGUAAAAAAAUGAUGGAGGGAAUAUUCUCAAGUUUGCAUAUUAUCUCGACGAUAUUCAUUUCAAGCCUCUCAAUGUGAUGUGUGUGCAACUUGCUGGCGCAUAUAUCUCUAAAGAAAUGAUUGAUCUGCGUGAGUGAAUCCCAUAUCCCCUUUGGCAAUAAAUCACGAUAAGCUAAUGGAAUGAGUGUUUGCAUGAACACAUGGCAGUCAUAUGGCUCUUCAUUCCAUACAAUCUACAUUCCUGCAAAUUAACCAACCUUGAUAUGUUCGAGGCAUGUCCAUUGGGAAAACACAGACUCUUAAGUCAUUAGCAGACUAAUAGUUGUGUAUUCUUCUCUAAGGCGAAGCUUGAUUUCGGCUUUGCAACUCGUGACCCAUUAAAAACCAACUCCAUAUUUUUACAGUGAUAAAAAAAACGGUAUAUCCAUUCAUUCUAGCCUUGAUGUUGUCUUUUGUCUUCCCCUUCACGUCCAUGACUGUGUUGAAAAUGUUUUUAAACACAUUUUUUUCUAUGUGCUUGACGUCAAGGUUAUGGCGGAGGAGAUUGGUCUUCCAAUAAGAAAGCUCCUAGAAAAUACUUUGUUUUACCCAGUUGUGGGUCAAACCAAAACCAAGAAACUUCUGCUUACCGGAUUGGAAACCAAACACAAUGUUACUGUACUCUGACACCACGUCAUGCAAUUCUUCACUAGAAAGACGCGAGGGUGCAACAUCAUUUUCAACGCUGCCAACAAAGAAAUCCUUUUAGUUCUUUCUAUAAUUGUGAUCCGUUGGCAAGAAACACCGAUGGUAGUGAAAAAAAGACGCUUUACUUCUGCUUGUUAGCGUGAAUGCCUUAUUGUUUUCCAUGCAGUAUGGACAUGCUAGUUUUCCAUACGUGCUCCAAUCAGAAACCAUUUCAUAAGCUGAAAAAUCAUUGAUAGUACACGUCAAAACUGCCCUUAUAAGAAAAUUAUGUUUUCUCAAUACAUCAUAAGUCAAAGCCCUAGAAGACCACAACUACGUCAACUCAUCAAUCAACUGUCGAAGACAAACAUCUAUAUUCCAGCCCAGACUAUUAGAACUGGGUAUGACCAUAGAUAAAAACAUGAACUUCAGCCUCAUACACAUCCCUGGUGGUAAGUUGUAAACCAUUAGUAUAAUCGGCCAACAAGAAUAAGGAGCAGUAAAUGACCUAAAUGGGUUGAAUCCAUCUGUACAUAACCCAAGAUGCACGUCCCUUGAUUCUGCUGAAAAAUGAGAAUGCACAAUGUUAAAGUGUUUCCAUGCUUCACCGUCAGAAGGAUGCACAAUCACUUCAUCAAGUGAUUAAUGCUAUAUCAUGUGCUCAAUAGUCUUUGGUGACAUGAAUAACCUCUACAGUCUAGGUGUGAUUGGGAAGCAUCUAAGUUUUUUAUAUGUCAUAAGAGUCUUUCCCAUGCCAGUUAUGGGUUUGUAACGGGAAUGCUCUCAUGUCAUGCACUCGGUCAGCUCAGCAUUUUCAAGGUAGUACAUCAUGCAAAAGUUUGGAUACAUGUCAAUUUUCUAGUAUCCUAAACCGAGGGGUUUCAUCAUGUACUUAGUAGCAUAGAAGUUCUCUUUCAGCCUGUUCCCUUCAAGUGGAAUGCUUCUCGCCCAUUCGAUAAUUUUUUCAUAACCGGUCUCACUCAACCCAUAAUCCGACUUGAUAGUAAACACAUGUGCAACGACCGAUUAUUUACUGUGAUUUGUGCAACUAUCCCAUAAUGGUUCAUCAGAAUCUUUCAACAAAUCAAAAAACUUGGUCGCGUCUGCAUUAGGUUCUUCUUCUAUAAUUGGACAUUGACUAGCAUUACAUUGAUUCAUUCUCAUUGCAUCCAUAACCAUAUUCCUGUAAGGAUUACUAUUGUCAUUUACAACUCCAUGCACAUUACUAGCACUAGAAGUUGACCCAACCAUCUUUUCUACCAUGCUCUUGUUACGAACAAAUAAUUCUUUGUGUGCAUACCAACACAGGUAAUCCUCCAUGAACCCUUUGUGUAGAAGAUAUAUCGUUACAACAUCUGGAUGCAAAAACUUUUUAUUUUUACACCUCCUGUAUGGACACUUAAUACCGCCUCCACUAAAAUUUCUCGGAAUAUAUUUUGCGAAAUUAAUAAAACUCUGAACCCUAUUAUAAUAAUCCAUCCUCCGCAAUUCUUGGGGUGAAUCUCGAUACAUCCAUGAAUGAUCAUCCAUGACUUCUAUCAAACCUCUAUAAAAUAAUGAUGACAACAUGUAUUACANNNNNNNNNNNNNNNNNNNNNNNNNNNNNNNNNNNNNNNNNNNNNNNNNNNNNNNNNNNNNNNNNNNNNNNNNNNNNNNNNNNNNNNNNNNNNNNNNNNNNNNNNNNNNNNNNNNNNNNNNNNNNNNNNNNNNNNNNNNNNNNNNNNNNNNNNNNNNNNNNNNNNNNNNNNNNNNNNNNNNNNNNNNNNNNNNNNNNNNNNNNNNNNNNNNNNNNNNNNNNNNNNNNNNNNNNNNNNNNNNNNNNNNNNNNNNNNNNNNNNNNNNNNNNNNNNNNNNNNNNNNNNNNNNNNNNNNNNNNNNNNNNNNNNNNNNNNNNNNNNNNNNNNNNNNNNNNNNNNNNNNNNNNNNNNNNNNNNNNNNNNNNNNNNNNNNNNNNNNNNNNNNNNNNNNNNNNNNNNNNNNNNNNNNNNNNNNNNNNNNNNNNNNNNNNNNNNNNNNNNNNNNNAAUGAAGUUGCAAUUGCUAAAAAUUUAAAAAUCCCUAUAAAUAAAUCAACUAAAAAUAAGUCUCAUAUGAAAAAAAAAAUCUCACAACAAAAUUUAUACAAUUAUUAAGAACAAAAACAAUUAAAAAUAGAAUAAAAAACAAAUAUAGUGAAAACAAUCAUGAAAAAAGAAGAAAAAAGAAAAAUAUUACCUUAAUGUAGUUGCAAGUGAAGCUAAGGAGAGAAAAAAACAUUCGUAAAGCAUAUUAAUUAAAAAAAACUAAGAGGAUAAAAGAAGAAAGAAGAAGAAGAAGACAUACCCGAGCAUGGAGGAAAAGAGAAGAAGAUGAGGAGAGAAAAGAAGAAAAAGAAAUAGAUAUUGAUAUUUUUUACAUAUAGUGAACAAGAAGAAGAAGAAGUAGUAGUAGAAGAAGAAGAAGAAGAAGAAGAAGUAGAAGAAAAAUUAUAAGAAAUGAGCCUGUCUCUUGUGAAAUAAGGGGAUCCAGACUUUUUAUUAGGACGCGUUAGCGACGGAUUUACCGACGGAUAAUUGAAUAUUAAUAUUUUUUAAUUAUUCUGUCGGUAAUUUCAUCGGUAAUAUUUAAUUUAAAUUUUCAAUUUUGUAAAAUUUUUCGGAAACCGCCAACAAUUAGCGACGAUUUUUCAAUCCGUCGGUGAUUCCGUCUGUAAUAUUUAAAUGAAAAUUUUAAAUUAAUUGAAUUUUUAAAAAAAACCGCCAAAUAACACCGACGACUUUUCAAUCCGUCGGUGAUUUUGUCUGUAAAGAACAACAAUUAACAGUGCAAUUGGAAAGUUGAACAGUUCUGGAGCUCUCUGGAAAAUACCGACGGAAAUUCCCGUCGGUGAUUCCCUUUGUAAUUGACAUGAUGAACAAUGUUCACAGUUUAUCAACGGAUUUACCAACGGAAACAUUCCGUCGGUAAUUCCGUUAGUAAAAAUGACACGUCAUCAUUUUUUUUGCUUUGUUUUAAUUUUUUUUUCCCACGGUUAUUCCCUCGGUAUAUACCGAGGGAAUAUUUCCGUCGGUAAAAUCCCUCGGAAAUUUACCGAAUAUUUCCGUUUGUAUUUAUCGAUUUUCUGGUAGUGUUAAUUAACUACGUUAAGUAAAUAAAUUUGCAAAAAUAUUGGUUUAGCUCAAGAUUAUCCAACUUACUUUCAAACUUCUCUUAAAUAUUCAUUAUCAAUUAUCUACGUCCAUACAAAUUUAUAUACAUUAAUUUACGGAAAUUACAACUCGGCAAUAAAAUUGACAAAUUAAACGGACCCAUCAAACAAGUCAUUAUUUAUUUCAUCACAACACACCUAAGUUGAUAAUUCGACAUAAAUUUCAACAAUUUACAAACAAAUACAAUUUUACAAAAUCUAAAACAAACCAUACCAAGUACAAAAUUAUAAAUCCAUACUACAAGUUUGUUUGAGAAAAAUAAUAAAACAAGUAAACACUAAAAAAAACAUUCAAUAUAUUAACUAUUACCGAUGGAAUUACCGACAAAAUAUUUUUGUUUGUAAAUCCAUCAGCCAUUCUGUCGGUGAAGUAAACACGUCACUGUAUGAACAUCCCGGUUUGAAUCACUCUGUAAUUCCGUCAGUAACAUCAUUCACAAAAACUUCCACGUCAUUGCACUGCUUUGUUUUUUAAAAUUCUUUAUAUUCUAUGUGGGAUUCCCUUGAUAUAUACCGACGGAAUGUUUCUGUCGGUAUAUACCGACGGUUUUAGCAAGGGAAGUAAUUCGAUCGGUAAUUAUCACCGCAAAAUACCGACAAAAACAGUUUGUCGGCAAUUCCGUUUGUUGAAUUUCAUGUAGUGAUUCCUUAGAUUCCUCAGUACUUUCCAUGCAUGAUAGAUCAUUUUCUUUCGGGGAUACCCUAAAGAGGACUUAAAGAUUUCAGUUGUAUAUGUGUGAUAACAGAGCAGAAAAAGAAAACUCUCUCGGAUAGGACCCCAUUUGUGGCAGUUUCAUGUCAUCUAAAGUUCACCGAAAGGCGAUGCUUGCAAUCGUUAUGUUNNNNNNNNNNNNNNNNNNNNNNNNNNNNNNNNNNNNNNNNNNNNNNNNNNNNNNNNNNNNNNNNNNNNNNNNNNNNNNNNNNNNNNNNNNNNNNNNNNNNUUAAAGCACAUCUCAUGUUUUUGAUGGGUCCCAUUUAUAUGAAGGGAUUGGGAAAGAUCAAGAAAAGGUAUAACUCGGAGCAUUUCCCAUUUUUCUCUUUUUUCUGUAAAAGAUAUGUGUAAAGCAAUGCUUCAGAGGGAGGCUUACUAAUAUCAUUUUCAUGGGAGAUAAGAUAUUUUUACUAGAUACACUUGCUCAUAUGGCUCGGAUUGGGAAUCAUGUUUUUCAAAGAUAUGUGUAAAGCAAGCUUAGUUAAAGAGAUGUGAAGGAAAUUUUGGUUGUAGAACUCAGAAAUGAUCCAAUCAUGGUCAUGAUCGCUGAUAUUCUUAGAUAUCGUGUAAAUUUCUACUCUUUUUUUUUCUAAGCUAUUGUUUUACCUUGAACUCCGUUUAUUAUUUCUUUAUCCGAGACGCUUCCCAUGGCUCAUCAUUUUAUCCUUGUGCUCGGGACAAUUCUAAAAUGAGGUGAUAAUUCUAAACUCGAAAUUAUUCAAUGAAAUCACACCUUGAAGAGCUUCAAAGCAUUUGAACAGCAAAUUAAUUAUUUGUUUGCCCUAAACGGACUACUAACAGAUAUGUUCAUGUACUAGUGAAAGAUAUUUAGGCCACGAGAAAGCAUGAUCACGCAAGACCAGAAUAAUAGCCUAAAAUAAUGAUAACAGGAGAUAUUCUAACCGUUAAAUCAGGUUUAAAUUUUUAUAGAAGAUUCUACAAACCGUUUCCCAUUAAAAACCACUCAGUAGUUAUCAGAGCAUUGUAUCUCCAUAAAGUAGGCUAAUUAGUUAUUAUUUAGGAUAAUUUUGUUAUUUUUCCUUAAUUUUCGCAGAUUUAUUGUUUAUUUUAAAUUUUAUGUUAUUUUCCGUUAUGUUUUGGGAUUCUGAUUUUGUUUCGAAUCUUGGUCAAUUUUUCUAGUCUAUAAAAGAUUGUAAACCUCUUUAGAAGGUAAACUUAAUCAAAUUAAUAUUUUAGAAAUAAGUUUUAGGAUUCUUUGUGUUUUAGCAUUAUUUCAGUUUAUCUUGUCUUUCUAUGCUUGCAGCUAUAUUGCUGUGCUUCCGCUUGCAUUAAACUUUCAAAACCACUAAGUCAGUUAUCAAAGCAUUGGAUCUCCUAUAAAAGGGAUUGUAAACCUCCUUAGUAGGUAGACUUGAUCAGAUUAAUAUUUUAAAAAUAAAAAAAGAUUUAAGGAUUUUUGUUGUUUUAACCUUAUUUCAGUCCAUAUUUUGUCUUUCCAUGCUUGCAGCUAUAUUGUUGUGCUUCCGACUGCAUUAAUCUUUCAAUAUUUGAUGCUAAGUAAUAGGUGAAUAAGGUGAUAAUCAGGGGAGUAGAGAGAUAUUUAUGACCCGCCAAAUAGAAAAUUAUGAUAUAUAAAUCACAGAAAUUUUAUUUGAUGAAGUAAGAAGAAGCUCCUGACUCGAGUUCUAGCAACCUCUCCUCGUCUACGUUUAGCAGAGGGAGAAUAUCGUACAGCACUAAAGGUAACACAACUGGAGGAGGUUAUGCAUACAAGAAAGCUAAGUGAUUAAUCGCUAGGUCUUUAAAACGGAACUGGUUUCCCCUUAGGAUAAUCGACAUAAACCCUCCCCUUGUAGCGUCGAGCUGCCUCGUUGCUGUCGAUAACUUCUGUUGCAGGAACAUAGUAAUAUGUGGGAUGAGCAUAGGGAACCUUCAUAACUGGUGGCCGCCGGCUCCUGGCCCGGGCGAAGUGCUCAUCAAUGGCUGCAAAACCCUCCUGCCCAAUCUUAACAAGACGAUCUGCCAUGUUAACUACAAUUAAUCAACACACAAAGACAAGUAGCUGUUUAUAGGUUUUGUUGGUUUUCUUGUUUUGGCUAAUAUGUAGGAGGCCAAGCCAACCUUUAUAUAGAAAGGAAAGGUUUGGUUGACAACAGCUGUGAAAUGAAUAUGUUAGACAGUACUCCAUUUUGUAAAUAAAAGCACCCAACAUUUGCAGAGAGAAAAAUCAAUAGCUUUUCUUCAUCUUAUCACUACUGACGAUAAAAGCAUCACAAAAUGAAAAAAAGAUUAUCAUCAAUAGUUUAUUAAUAUCAUAUUUAAACACAAAAAAAGUAAAAACUGUUAGAUUUGGAUGUGUUCAAUAGUUAAACAUUAUUUUUUAUUUACUAAACAUUAUUUUUUAUUUAAUAUAAAAUAAAAGAAGUAAUAUAUAUGUAUUUGAAUUGAUAUCUCUAAUAAUUGCUCUCAAGUUAGUUCGAAAGUAUCUGUUAACACUAUGGACAGUUAUUGUUAGUACUUGGUGGCACAAAUGUUCCCUUUCGAGUGCAAAGUUCCUAAAAUAUAUAUAAAACAAAAAUCGCAUUCAAUUAUUAAACAAAUGAUUCAUUCCGACAAGUUUCGUAGAAUCGAUGACUCUUUGGUUUAAUGGUGAAUCUGAUUCUUUUUUUGGUAAUCUUUUUUUCUAUUCUUUUUUUUUUCCUUCUUUAACUGAUCUUUAUUCUUUCCAAAACCUAUAUCUUUAUUUCUUAUUCUAGUUAACACGAGAUGACUUGCCCGCGCGCUGCCGCGGGCUUAUAAAACAAAUGCACUUGAUAGUGUUAUAAUUGUGAACCAGCGCUAGAUAAGUAAUAGAAAUUAAAGGUAUGAUGAAGCAAAUAUUUCUAACACGAGAUGACUUGCCCGCGCGCUGCCGCGGGCUUAUAAAACAAAUGCACUUGAUAGUGUUAUAAUUGUGAACCAGCGCUAGAUAAGUAAUAGAAAUUAAAGGUAUGAUGAAGCAAAUAUUUCUAACACGAGAUGACUUGCCCGCGCGCUGCCGCGGGCUUAUAAAACAAAUGCACUUGAUAGUGUUAUAAUUGUGAACCAGCGCUAGAUAAGUAAUAGAAAUUAAAGGUUGUGUUGGUGAUCAAAAACUUAGAGACUGAACAAAAUGAUUUGUAGCAAUCUACAGUGUUUUGUGAGGAAAGAUACAGUGUUUUCGCCACAUGAUUUAACUUUUCAGUUAAUAAAAAGCAAAAAAAAAAACUUAAUAUUAAAAAAAAACCAACAAAGAUAAUUUUGGAAGGAAAAAAACCUAUGAGAAAAAAUGUUGCAGCAAUUGACAAUGUUUUAUGAGGAAAACUAUAGCGCUUUUCCCAAUAAAAUAAACAAAAAAACUAUUUAGAGAAAUAUUGUAGCAAUCCACAGUGUUUUGUGAGAAAAACUACAACGCUUUCCUCAUAUGAUUUAGCUUUAUUGUAAUUAUAAUUCUUAACCAACUCAAUAUUAAAAAAAAAUCGACAAAGAUAAUUUUGGAAAAAAUCAUAAAAAAAUCACAUGGGAAAACACUGCAACAAUUCACAAUAUUUUAAAGAAAAAAAAUAACAAAGCUAAAUUCUUAAUCGGCUCAAUAUUAAAAAAAAAUCAACAGAGAUAAUUUUAGAAAAAAAAAUAACAAAACAAACACCAAAAAAAAGGGAAAAAAUCAUGUUGGAAACACUGUAGCAAUUCACAGUGUUUUGUGAUGAAAGCUACAGUGCUUCCCCACAUGAUUUAGCCUUAUUUGUAAUGACUUGUAAUUGUAAUUCACAAACAACUCAAUAUUAAAAAAAAUUUGAAAAAGAUAAUUUGAAAAAAAUUAUAACAAAAAAAAAUUAUGUGGAGAGACACUGUAGCAAUCCAUAAUGUUUUAUGAGCAAAGCUACAAUAAUUUCCCCACAUGAUUAAGCUUUAUUACAAAGUUAAAUUUUAACCAACUCAAUAUUUAAAAAAAUAAAAUCGACGAAAAUGAUUUUGGAAAAAAAUAUUACAAAAAAAGAAAACACAAAAGAAACUGGAAAAAAACCAUGCAAGGAAAAACUGUAUCAAUCCAUAGUGUUUUUUGAGGAAAAACUUGUAUUUACUUGUAAUUACAAUUCUUAACCAGCUUAAUAUUUAAAAAAUAAAAUUGACAAAGAUAAUUUUAGAGAAAAACAUAACGAAAACAGGAAAAAAAUCAUGUGGGGAAAAACACUAUAGAAACCAACAGUAAUUUUCAAGGAAAGUUAAAGUGUUUUCCUCACAUAUUGUAACUGUAAUUUUUAACCAGCUCAAUAUUAAAAAAUAAAAUAAAAAAAGAUAAUUUUGGAGAAAAAAAAAAACAAUGCGGAGAAACAUUGUAGCAAUAAACAAUGUUUUAAAGAAAAAAAUUACAAAACUAAAUUCUCAAUCAGCUCCAUAUUAAAAAAAAUCAAAAAAUAUAAUUUUGAAAAAUAAAGAAAUAAAAUAGAAAAACUAUGUGGAAAAAUAUCGCAGCAAUCCACAGUAUUUUCAAGAAAAAAAUUACAAAGCAAAAAUUUUAACCAGGUCAAUAUUUAAAAAGUAAAAUCAACAAAAAUAAUUUUGGAAAAAACAAAAGAAAAAUUAGGAAAUUUCAAAAAAAAAUUUGAAAAAAAAAGAACAAAAAAAAAAAAAAGGAAAAGUUAGCACAAAAAAAAAGGAGAAAAAUCACUGUGAAUUACUGUUGUAAUCCAUAUAUAGUGAAAUGUGUGGGGGGGAAUAGUAAUUCCCCCACACCAUUUAGAGUAUGUUUUAAUGAGAUAAUUAGUACAAACAAGUUAUGGCUAUGGUUAUCCUUAGAAGGGGCAAUCCAUUGAGAUCUUAUGGACAUAUGGUUAUCCUUAGAAGCAUUCUGGACAUUGUACCUCUCACUCCCAAUAUUAUAGUACAAACAGUUAGUUAUGGCUUUCCGUUUUGUUAAUAACAAUAGGAAAAUAGAUUCUUUAUUUACUUAAGGAUGUUGUAAUAAAAUACAAUGUCUUUAAUUGUUUUUAAAGAUAUUUUCUCAACACGAGGUUAUAUUCCAGAAUUCAACAAGUUUUUUUUCUAAAACAAGGGUUCCAGAAACAGCUAGACCAAGAUCGAAAGGAAAUACCAGCAAGCUUUACAAACACAGAAAAAUACUAUGGUUUUUUCAGCACAUAUUGAUUGUAAGAGUGCAUGGUAUAUAUAGGUUGUUAACAUGAAACAACUAGGCAAAAAAUAAAUUAAAAAAUUAAAGAAAUAAGUUGUGUAAAAGUGCAUGGUAUAUAUAGGUUGUGUAAUAUAAAGGAGACUCUAUGUUUACAAGAAAUAAGUUGUAUUUUUUUAAAUAUAUGAUAAAAAACUUAUAAAAUAAUCUUCAUUAUUUACAACACUAGAUUCUAAAGUAAGUGGCAAUCCAUUGAGAUCUUAUGGAUGUGAACAUAUGGUUAUCCUUAAAAGCAUUCUGGACAUUGUAUCUCUCAAUCCCAAUAUUAUAGUACAAACAGUAAGUUAUGGCUUUCCGUUUUGUUAAUAACAAUAGGAACAUAGAUUCUGAGACCCCUUCAUGUGUUCAUAUGCUCACAUUUUUUAACAUUUUUUUGAUACUGGGACAAGAUAUAUCGUUUUAUUUGUGUCUAAUUCCUCAGGACUUACCUUGAGAGACCAUUUUCUUGGAUGGGUACUCUGAACAGAUUUCAGUUCUAUGUCAGAAAAAGAACACUCUCUCGGAUAGGACCCAUUUUGUGGCAGUUUCAUGCCAUCCAAAGUUCACUAAAAGCCGAUGCUUACAAGUAUUCUCAAAUAGUAUUAAGUAUUAAAUUCUUAUGUAAGGUAGAAUGAAAUUUGAAAAGAUUUUCAAAUAAUUAGAUAUGCUAGAUUAAUCAGUGAAGGCACUUUAUUCUAGCUUAAGGAUGUGCUAGAUUCUGUAGUAAGGAUCAAUCCAUUGAGAUCUUAUGGAUAUGGACAUAUGGUUAUCCUUAGAAGCAUUCAGGACAUUGUACCACUAAAUCCCAAUAUUAUAGUAUAAACAGUAAGUUAUGGCUUUCCGUUUUGCUAAUACUAAUAGGAAAAUAGAUUCUGAUACCACUUCAUGGGUUCAUAUACUCACAUUUUUUUGAUACUGGGACAAGAUUUAAGAGAUCAUGGUAUGUUGCAUUUGAUAUUUAAAUAUAAAUCUAUUAAUUUUUUAGAUUGAUAAUAAGUUAAAUUACUUAAUUUAUUUAAUCUUGUUUUGAAUAGGAUUAUGAUUUAUAUUUGUGCUAAUAUAUUCGAAACCUAAUAAUUCACAUGGAUGAUUAAUCAAGCAUGAAUUGUGUCGCCCAUGUGCGCGUGAUGUUGCAGCAUCAGGAUUAAGGAGUCGCCACCUAGUUAUGUGGUUCAGAGUCAUUAGAAGACCCAAGUAGACUGAUCUUAUCUGAAAUUUCAGGGUAAAGGACUAGUAUUGGCUAGAAAAAGGUGUUAGCAUCCUUACUUGAGGUAAGUUAUAUUGUGUUGUCAUGAGGCGGUUUAAACGUGUUGAUGGGUUCCUAACCGGUAGCUCAUUUAUGGCUCAGAAAAAAAAUUACGCCCACAAAUAAAUCUGACAUUUCAAAUUUUUUAUGGGCUCGUAUGCUUAGGUAAAUUCUUAUAAAAAAAUUCAUGUAGGUGCUCUGACAGGAGUCACCUAUCCUGAAAGGCGAAAAUGUUUUCCACAACUCAUAUAUUGUGAUGAAAAAAUACUCACAAUUAAAAUUGAUGAAUAUCCAAAAUAAUUCUGAAAAUUUUCUAGUUAACUUCUGGUACUUAAAUACUAGCCUAUUGGUAGGUCUAACAUUUAUACCAGAAUGUUGACCUUUAAUUUUUAGAAAUUAAAAUUUUUAGGGUUAUUGAAAUAUUGGCCAAAUCCUUAAGGAAUUUUGAAAACUUAUUGUAAAUUACAAAAAUUAAAAAAAAAACAAUGCUAAAAACAUUUUCCCCUCCUUUUUAUAAAUAAAUUGCAAUGUUAUGUAAGGAUUGAGACGUAUGCAACAAACCAAAAUUAUUUUCUGUUUUUUUUUUAUUAUUAACAGAACUCUAAAACACGUGGGUUUUCUACUAUACAUUAAUACAUUGUGGACUGAGAGAUAAUUCAUUGUGGACUUACUGUACAUUCAUGCACUGUGGACCAAGAGACAAUUAACUGUGGACUUGCACAAUUGUUUCGCUAUGUAUUAAAACUUACAUAGUUGCUUUGCUAUGUCUUAACACGAAUGAGGAUUUUCUACUGUACAUGGAUUGUGGCUCAAGAUACAAUGAAAUGUGGACGACACUGUAGCACAUUGGGGGGUGUUCCUUACCUGUGUUUUUAGUCAAGAAUUGCAGCUGGGGUGGCUCAUUUGACUUUUGUCAUUAAGAUGGGAGUGAUGCAGCGGCAGAGGUGACAUUUAAUUAGAUCAGACUGUCGACACCUUGCACUUGGGUAGCCAAGCCAGGGUGUUAGGGCCAGCCACGCGCCCCUAGCCGCGACCCCAAGGCAGCAAACACUUGGCGCUAUGGCUGGCCGAGGCCUCAGCAUGCAAACACCUGGCGCAGGGUGUGACCAGCCUUGAGCGCUAUGGGCAGACCCGCGUGCUUGGAUGCAGCCCCAGGGCGCUUGGCGCUUGAUUAUUUGUUAUGAUAAUAUUUAUAACACAAAUUAUAAUAUUUUUAUAUUAAUACUUAGAAUAAUAAUUAAAAUAAUAUAUUUAUAACACAAAUAAUAAUUUUUUUGAAAUGAAUACUUUGAAUUAUAAGAAAAAUAAUUAUAUUUAUAAUACAAAUAAUUAUAUUUUUUAUAUCAAUACUUUGAAUUAUAUUUUUAAAUCUUUAAAAAAUGAUGGUUUUUCUUCAAUAGCAAUAAUAGUAUUUUUAAAAUUUAUUAAUGAUAAUAAUAAUAAUAAUAAAUUUCCCAAAUUUAUUAAUUAUUAUAUGAAUAAUAUUAAUUAUAAUAAAAAUAAUAAUAUGUAUAAUACAAAUAAUAAUAUUUUAAAUUAUAAUAAAAAUAAUAAUAUUUUUAAUAUUAAUACUUUUGUAUUAUAAUUAAUGUAAUUAAAAUUAAAAUAUUCUUAGUUGUAUUAUAAAUAAUAAUAAUAAUAAUAAUAAUAAUAAUAUUAACAUUAAAAUUAUUAUUAUUUGUAUUAUAAGUAUUUUUAUUUUUAUUAUAAUUAAUAUUAUUCAUAUAAUAAUGAAUAAAUGAAAAAUAUUAUUAUUUGUAUUAUAAUUAAUGUUAUUGAAAUUCAAGAUAUUCUUAUUUGUAUUAUAAAUAUUGUUAUGUUUAUUGUAAUUAAUGUUAUUGACAUUAAACAUAUUAUUAUUUGUAUUAUAAAUAUUAUUUUUUUUAUUAUAAUUCUCUUGGGUCCUGCUACCGCACCCAAGAACCCAAGAGAAUUGGGUCAUGCAUCAGGACCCAAUUCUUUUAGGUCCCGCGGCAGGACUUAAGGGUAAUGGGUCCUGCGUCACGACCCAAGAGAAUUGGGUUUUAGCUUUCUAAAUAUAAUUAUUUUUAUUAUAAAUAUUAUUAUUUUAUAAUUAGAAUUAUAAUAAAAACGCAGCCAUGGAGCCAGACCAAAAAAAAUACAACAUCAAAAAUAUUAAUUUGAAGUAAAGAAAACAAUUAAAAAUUUUCAAAAUGUUUUCAAAGCAUUUUUGAAACGCAAAAACAAAUAUGCUUUAAUAAGAAAAUUCAAGAAGAGAAAUAUCAAAAAUAUAUAUAAAAAAAGUAUUCAUAUAAAAAAUAAGAGAAAAUAAAAAAAAAUUAUUAUUUUCUUUUUACACGAAUGAAUAUUUUGAUUUGAGUAUAUAAAAAAUUGAUUUUCAAACAUAAAAAAUAUAUUAUUAUUUUUAAAUAAUUUGAUAAAAUAUGUGUUAAAUAUUAUUAUUAAUAUUGUAUCAACUUUGGUCAAGCAAGUUUCAUAUUAUUAUUAAUGUGAUAAAUAUUAUUAUUUGUAUUCUAACUAUUAUUAUUAUUAUUAUUUUAAUUAAAUGUAUUAAUAUUAAGAAUAGACAAAAAUUGAAAAAAAACAAAUAUAAUAACAAUUAUUAUUAUUAUUAUUAUUCUUUAAAAAACAUUUUUUGAAAAAAAUCUUAUUGCACGCCCAAAGCGCCUGGGUGGACGCACACCCCCUAGGGCUGCGAAUACCUAGCGCUUGGGCUGACAGGCCUGGGCGAUGGGUUGGCCAUGUGCAACUGCGCACGCCCCAGGCUGCUGCCACCUGGAGCUAGGGCUGGCCGAGGACCUAGCAUGUAGACACCUGGCGUUGGGUGUGCCACGCCUGGGGUGCUAAGGGCAGACCCGCGCGCCUGGCUGCAGCCCCAGGGCGAGCGGGUCUGCAGCCCCGCAACCCUGGGGUCUGCAGACACGCGAGGUAGGGUCUGCACCCCGCGCUCCUAGCCUCCUGACCCGCGCACUGGGUGCAGACCCAACCGCCGAUGUCUGUUCUAACCGCCCUUGGGUUUAGAGGCUCGCACGGCUGGAUCAGCAGACCCUGCAGGGGAAAAAAAAUACAAUAACAAUUAUCAUUAUUAUUAUUGUCUCAUUGUUAAUUAUCAUAAAAAAAUUUAAUAAUGUAGAUAUUAUUAUUUGUAUUCUAAAUAUUAUUAUCUUUAUUAUAAUUAAAAGUAUUAAUGUUAAGGAUAGAAGAAAAUUGAAAAAAAAAUAUAACAACAAUUAUCGUUAUUAUUAUUGUUAAUAAUUUUUUUUUAAAAAAAUAUAUUAUUUUAUCAACUUUGGUCAAACAAGUUUCAUAUUAUUAUUAAUGUGAUAAAUAUUAUUAUUUGUAGUCUAAAUAUUAUUAUUUUUAUUCUAAAUAUUUUUUAUUUUAAUUUCAUUGAAUGUUAAAAAAAAUAUUAUUAUUUGUAUUAAUAUUAAAAAUAGAAGGAAAUUGCAACAAAAAAAAUUACAAUAACAAAUCUCAUUAUUAUUAUUAUUAUUGUUGUUGGUAAAAAAUAAUUUAUGAAAAACAUAUUAGUGUAGGCCCCAAGUGCCUGGCUGGACGCACAACCCUUAAGGAUGGGGAAGCUUGGUGCUUAGGCUAUCAGGCCUGGAAGGGGGGCAGGCCACGUGCGCCUGCUCGUGCUCUAAGUUGCUGCCACCUAACACUAGGGCUGGCCAAGGCCCUAGCAUUCAGACACCUGGCACGGGGCCUGCCAUGCCUUAGGUGUUAGGGUAGACCCGCACGCCUGACUGCAUCCCCAGUGCGAGCAAGUGUCCAGCCUUGCGACCCUGGGGUCUGCAGACCCACAAGGCAGGGUCUGCAACCCCACGCUCCUGGCCUAUGGACCCGUGCGCUGAGUGUAGACCCAUCCACCUAGGUUUGUUCUAACCGCCAUUGGGAUUAAAGGCCCCACAAAACCAGCCAUACAAAAUCUCAAUAUUUUUUUAAAAAAUAUAUAUUAAAAAAAUAUAAAAAAAAUUAAAAUUUGCAAAUUUCUUGGGUCAUCGCAGACAAACACAAUGCCAACAUUUAAAAAAAAUACAAAAACAUAAAAAAAAAAUUAAUUUGAAGUAAAGAAAAAAACUUCAAAAUUGUAAACAAAAUUUCAAAGAAUUUUUAAAACGCAAAAUUAAACAUGAUCUAAAUAAUUUGAAUUGAAGAGAAAAAUAUCAAACAAAAAUUAAUUUGAAGUAAAGAAAAAAAUGAAUUUUUUUUUAAUUUCUUGAGACUCGUCUCUCAACCAGACACAAUCUUAUUAUAUGUUUUUUAAAAAAAUAUUUAAAAAAUAAUACAAAAACAUGGAGAAAAUAAUAUUUUGAAGAAAAGAAAAAAAUUAAAAAUUUUAAAAUUUCUUGGGUCUGGCGUCACCGCCACACAUAAUCUCAACAUAUAUUUUUUAAAAAAAGUAAUACAAAAACAUAACAGAAAUAUUAAUUUCAAGCAAAGAAAAAAAACUUAAAAAUUAUCAAAAAUGUUUCAAGGAAUUUUCGAAAUGCAAAAUCAAACAUGAUUUAAUUAGGAAAUUCAACCUAACCUGAAAUGGAAGAAAAUUAUUAUCACUCAACUUUCAUACAAUAUAAAAAAAAUCUCAUCAAUUUUUUUUGAAAAAUAAAUUUAAAUCAGAGAAGACAACAAUAAAGAAAUUUAAUUGGGUAUUGUUGUUGGGUCUGAAAGUCAGUCAUCCUUAUUGAUCAAUGGUCUUGCAUUAAUAUUCAAUGGUGGUGUUAUAUUGUAGUGAAAAAGAUAUAUAUAUAUUUACGAUGUGCAGAGACAUAGAGAGGUAUGGGGAUUGAAUUCUCACAUACGUGAUAACAUGGAUUUCCAAUCCAUCUACCAAAGAAAAUCAAUUUUUUUUUUUUUCAAUCUUCCUAUGUCGAUGUCCCUAGGAUGGAUUACUUAUACUAUAGCUAUUUUGGUCAUGCAUGGUGCAGGACUCAACACCCUCCAAAGGUGUUGGGUUUGGCUGCGCAACCAUACCCAAGGAUAUUGAGUAUGGUUGCAAAGCCAGACCCAACAGCCAUACACCCUGGGGGUCAUACCCUGCUAUGUUUUUGGUCAAAAUUUACCGCUAGGGGCUUUGCCUUGUCUUCCCAUAGCUGCUAGGAGACCCAACAGAGUGGUUGACUGUGGGCUAUUGGGUACUGCUGACACCUGGACCCAAUGACGUUGGGUCCUCCUCAACCCUUUAGAGUUAGGACCCAAGAGCUGGGGGUGUUGCCUUCUCUACCAAAAGACCCAACAACGUUAAUAUUUUGAAUUUGUAAUUUUUGAAAUAACUUUUCACAAGCCAGACCAGAGAAAUUUGAAAAUUUUUAAUUUACUUUAAAUUAAUUGUUUUUUGAUAUUUUUAAAAUAUUUUUUUUCAAAAUAUAUAUUGAGAUUGUGUCUUGAAAAUUUUUAAUUUUUUUCUUUACUUAAAUUUUUUUUCCAUGUUUUUCUAUUAUUUUUUAAAUAAUUGUUUUUAAAUUUGUUUUUAGACUGUGAAGCAAAAGCCAAGAAAUUUGAAAAUUUUUAUUUUUUUUUAAUUCAAAUUGAUUUUUUAUAUAUAUUUUUAUAUUGUUUUUUAAAUAUUAAGUUUUUAAAAAAUUAUACUGAGAUUGUGUCUUGAAAUGUUUUUAUUUUUUUCCUUUACUUUAAAUUACUUUUUUCUAUGUUUUUCUAUUAUUUUUUAAAUAUUUUCUUUUAAAAAAUAUGUUGAGAUUGUGUCUUCAAAAUUUAAAGUCAAGAAAAAAAUUAAAACUUUUUAAGAUACAAUCUAAAUAUAUAUUUUGAAAACAAUCUUUUAAAAAUAAUACAAAAAUGUCAAAAAAUAUUAAUGUAAAGUAAAUCAAAAUAUAAAAAAUUUUCAGAUGUCCAUGGUGCUGAUGGAAAAUUAAUCUUUUUCCAGAAGUGUAAGGCUAAAUAGAUAUUAUGAGACCAAUAUAUUUUUCUUAUUGUCAGAUUUUCUUUUUUCUUCUAUAGUUUCUAGUGCUUGGUAUGUAAAUAUUAUCAUAAUAGGUUUGCGUGAAUUCAUAAAAUAGAUGGGAAACCUAACCACGCACGCAAACUAGAGGCAUGCAAACCAUGAAAUAUCUUGAGUAUUUGUGUAUUACAUGGCUUACAAACAUGUAUUAAUUUCCUCUUUGGAUUUGUAUCUUCUUCUUCGUUAUUUUAAUUAUAAUUAAAUCAAUUAUUAUUAUUAUUAACAUGGAUCUAGCAUCCCCUUCCAGACCCAAAAAACUAAGACUUGACAAGAGCACAUGACCCAUAGUUUUAAAAAUACUUCCAAAAAAAGUUAAAAUUUUUUAAUUAUGUUCUCUAAUAUAUAUUGUCAUAUUAAAGUUGAUGGAGCUCUCAAGAAAUUUUUUAUUUACAUCAUACACUUUAUAAAUUUUUAGUAUUAUAUAAGAGAUUUUAUUUUGGGUAAUAAAAGAUAUUUCACUACCAGAAAUUCGCUAAAUACCAACGGAUUUACCGACGGAAUAUUUCUGUCGGUAAUUUGAGGUCGAAAUUACCGACGGACACUUUUCCGUCCGUAAUUCAGUCAGUAACUACCGACGGAAUAUUUUACGUCCGUAAUUCAGUCGGCAACUACCGACUGAAUUACGGAUGGAAAAGUUUCUGAAUUAAAAAAAAGGCGGGUCGCUGACGUGGAGGUUUUGGCGGUUAUUUGUUUUCCGACGGAUUCAAAACGACAGUCCGUAUAGUGACAUGAUCGGUUCGCCGUUUAAAUUGCCGACGGACUCACCGAGGGAUUUGAAAUGGCAGAUCCGUACGGUGACGUGUCUAUGUUUUCGUCAGAAUCACCGACGGUUUCACCGACGGAAUUUCCAUCGGUGAAACCAUCGGAAAAAGUUAAUAUAUGACAGCUCUGGCGACCCACUCCUCCCCUAUUUCUCCUUCUUCUUCCUAAUCCCAACUCUCCCCAUCUCCUUCUUGAAGUUUUGUGGUCACAGCAUCCGUGUUCUGAUUUACCGACGGAUUUUAUCAAUUUUUGUAAGUAAUUCUAUCUUUUUAAAUUUUAACAUUUAAUUAAAUGUCAAUUUUAUUGUUUUUUUAGUAUAUGUAUUUUGGUAGCAGAUGUACAUGUUUUAUUGUUAUUUCUCAAACAAACUUGUAGUAUAUGAAUGUAUAAUUCUAUACCUGUUAUGGUUUGUUUUAGAUUUUGUAAGAUUGUAUUUGUUUGUAAAUUGUUAAAACUUUAUGGAACUACCGAAGUACAUGUGCUAUUUUGAAAUAAUUAAUAGCUUGCUUAAUGGGUCCGUUUAAAGUUUUAUCAAUGGUAUUGCAGAGUGGUAAUUUCUGUAAAUUUAUAUAUUUUAAUUCGUAUGGACGUUGAUAAAUAAUAAUGAAUAUUUAAUAUUUAUGAAAAGUUGUGAUUGGUUUGUUGGAUAAUCUCGAGGUAAAGUAAUAUUUUUGCAAGUUUAUUUACCUAACUUAGUUAAUUAAUACAUGAUGUCAUCAUAAUUUUAUAGAGGUUCGAUAUAAGUCAUGGAUGAUCGUUCAUGGAUGUAUCGAGAUUCACCCCAAGGAUUGUGGAGGAUGGAUUAUUGUAACGGGGUUCAGGGUUUUAUUAAUUUCGCAACAUCUAUUCCCAGAAAUUUUACUAGAGGCGGUAUUAGGUGUCCAUGCAGGAAGUGUGAAAAUAAAAAGUAUCUGCAUCGAGAUGUUGUAAUGAUGCAUCUUCUACACAAAGGGUUUAUGGAGAAUUACCAGUGUUGGUAUGCACAUGGAGAAGUAUUUGUUAGCGAGAGUGAGAGGAGAAUGGAAGAAACGAUGGUUGGGUCUACUUCUAGUGCUAGCAACGUGCAUGAAGCGGCAAAUGACAACACUAAUCCUUACAGAAAUAUGGUUAUGGAUGCAAUGAGAAUGAAUCAAGGUAAUGGCAGUCAAUGUCCAAUCGUAAAAGAAGAACCUAAUACAGAUGCAGCUAGGUUUUUUGAUUUGUUGAAAGAUUCUGACGAACCAUUAUGGGAUGGCUGCACGAACCAUAGUAAAUUAUCGGCCGUAGCACAGGUGUUCACCAUCAAGUCAGAUCACGGGUUGAGUGAGGCCAGGUAUGACAAGAUUAUUGAAUGGGCAAGAAGCAUUUUACCUGAAGGGAACAGGCUGAAAGAGAACUUCUAUGCUGCGAAGUCCAUGAUGAAACCCCUCGGUUUAGGAUACCAAAAAAUUGACAUGUGCCCUAACUUCUGCAUGUUAUACUACCUUGAAAAUGCUGAGAUGACCGAGUGCAUGACAUGCGGGCAUUCCCGUUACAAACCUAGAACUGGCAGGGGAAAGACUCUAGUGGCAUAUAAAAAACUUAGAUACUUCCCGAUCACACCUAGACUGCAGAGGUUAUUCAUGUCACCAAGGACUGCUGAGCACAUGACAUGGCACCAAGCACACCAUGCGGUUGAUGGAGUGAUGGUUCAUCCUUCUGACGGCGAAGCAUGGAAACGCUUUAACAGUGUUCAUCCUCACUUUUCAGCUGAAUCAAGGAAUGUGCGUCUUGGGUUGUGUACAGACGGAUUCAACCCAUUUGGGUCAUUUGCUGCUCCUUAUUCUUGUUGGCCGGUCAUACUCACAGUUUAUAACUUGCCACCGGGAAUGUGUAUGAGGCCGGAGUUCAUGUUUUUAUCUACUGUCAUACCCGGUCCAAGAAGCCCGGGGCGGAAUAUAGAUGUUUGUCUUCGACCGUUGAUUGAUGAGUUGGCGCAGUUGUGGUCCUUCGGAGCUCUGACUUAUGAUAUAUCAAGGAAACAAAAUUUCCUUAUGAGGGCGGCAUUGAUGUGGACUAUCAAUGAUUUUCCAGCUUAUGAAAUGCUUUCUGGUUGGAGCACGCAUGGGAAACUCGCAUGUCCAUACUACAUGGAAAACAACAAGGCAUUCACGCUAGCAAACGGAGGUAAAGCUUCUUUUUUUGACUGUCACCGUCGCUUCUUGCCACUUCAUCACAGGUACAGAAAGAACAGAAAAGAUUUCUUGAUUGGCAGAGUUGAAAAAGAUGUUGCAUCCCCGCGUCUUUCUGGUGAAGAAUUGCAUGAUGUUGUCUUAGAGUACGGUGACAUUGUGUUUGGCCUUCAAUCAGGUAAGCAAAAGUUUCCUGGUUUUGGUUUGACCCAUAAUUGGGUAAAGCGAAGUAUCUUUUUUGAGCUUCCUUAUUGGAAGACCAAUCUGCUCCGCCAUAACCUUGAUGUCAUGCACAUCAAAAAGAACAUGUUUGAGAACAUUUUCAACACCGUCAUGGAUGUGAAGGGGAAGACAUAGGACAACAUCAAGGCUAGAUUGGAUAUAGCUUUAUACUGUAACCGUAAAAAUAUGGAGUUGGUUUAUGAUGAGUCACGGGUCGCAAAACCAAGAGCAAGCUUCGUGUUAGAGAAAAACGCACAACUGCUAGUCUACAAAUGGCUUAAGAGUCUGCGUUUUCCGGAUGGACAUGCAUCGAACAUAUCAAGGUUGGUUAAUAUAGAGGACUGUAGAUUGUAUGGAAUGAAGAGUAAUGACUGCCACGUGUUUAUGCAAACACUCAUCCCAUUAGCUUUUUGUGAUUUGUUGCCGAAGGGAAUAUGGGAUGCACUCACGGAGAUCAGUCAUUUCUUCAGAGAUAUAUGCUCCAGCAAGUUGAAUGUUGAUAACAUUGAGAGGCUUCAAACGAAUAUCAUCGAGACACUAUGCAAACUUGAGAUGAUAUCCCCUCCAUCAUUUUUUGACUCAAUGGAGCAUCUCCCUAUAUAUCUACCGUUCGAGGCAAAAGUUGGAGGACCGGUCCAAUAUAGAUGGAUAUACCCAUUCGAACGGUUAGAUAUUACAGUUGCAAUGUAAUUCAUAUAUAAAAGUAUUUUAUAUGUUUUUCUUAAUUGAAAAUACUUGAUUAAUAUUUCAAUGCAGGUACUUGUUUAAUCUCAAGAAAAAGGUUAAGAACAAGGCGCAUGUUGAGGCUUCGAUAUGUGAGGCCUAUAUUGUUGAGGAGAUCUCAACAUUUAUCUCGUACUAUUUUGAACCUCAUCUGAGAACGAGAAUCAAUUAAGUUCCACGGCAUGAUGAUGGCGGUGAAGUGCCUUCCAGUGGGAACUUGUCAAUAUUCUCCAAUACUGGACGACCCACACCUAAAAAUGCCGUAAGAGGAAGAUAUUUGUCGGAAAUAGAGUUCAAACAAGCACACAACUAUGUUCUAUUUAACUGUGAUGAGCUGAGACCUUUUAUUCAGUAAGUUUAUACUAAUUAAACUUUGUUAGUAAUAUACUGUUAAUUAUAUAUUGUAAUAUCAUACACUCAUUAUCACUUGCAGGCAACAUCGUCAAUAUUUGCUAUCCAAUAACUCACAGCUGACCGAAUCCCAGAUCUUUCAAUUACAAGAUGAGCAGUUUGCCACGUGGUUAAGAACACAUGUAAGCACUAUCACAAACUCAUUCUAACUUGCAAAAUUACUGUACGUAUGCAUGUCAUUACGAGAUUCUCGUUCAUUUACUAUUUAUUGAUGUACAUUACAUACAAGGUUUAUCAAAUGGGAAGGAGUGCACCUAAGUCAUUGUCUUCACUAAGCCUGGGGCCUGAAAGAAAAUGUAAGUGCUACAACGAGUAUUUUGUCAAUGGAUAUGUUUUCCAUACUGAAGAAUACGGGCAAGGAAGAAAGACAUACAACAACGGUGUUUGUGUUAAGGGAUCCACUAGUAGUGAGUUAUAAGUUGACUACUAUGGUAGAUUAGAAGAGGUCGUCGAACUGCAAUAUCAUAACGAGCAGAAUAUAGUGUUUUUAUUCAAAUGCUAUUGGUAUGACACGACUGACAGAGGAAUCAGAGUUGAUCCGCACUAUGGUCUAGUCGAAAUCAACUCAAAAGCUAGACUCCGCAACAUAAACGAUGUCUUUGUUUUCGCAAAGCAAUGUCAACAAGUUUAUUACACAUACACCCCUUCAUUUAGAAAGGAUCGAUCAAGAGUGGAUUGGUUGUCCGUUUUAAAAACGAAACCCCGGGGUCGUGUCGAGGUUGUUCAGGAUGAGAACGAAGACACAAGUGUGCGAGAUGAAGUCUUUCAAGUUAGUAAGGUGAUUGAACCAUAUCGAGUUGCUCCUUCGAUUGAAUUGGAAGAAAAUUCAAAUUUUCGUGUUUUCGAUGAUAGUCUUGUUGAUGUUGACGCAGAGGAGUUAAAUUUUGUUUUGAGCUCUAGCGGAUAACCAAACAUCGAUGAAGAAGAUUAUAUUCAUAUUGCAGAUUGCGAUGAAGGUGAUGACAAUUCAAUUGAUGACGAAGAAGAAGAAAAUUCUUACUAACUAUCAAAAUGAAGCCCUAUGUAAAACCCUUUUUUUCAUGUAAUUUAGAUUAUGAAUGAUAUAUAUAUUUUGAAACACAAAAUAUUUAUUACUUGAAAUAAUUAGUUGAAAUGCCACAAUUAUGAGAUAAUUACUUGAAAUAAUUAUUGAUCAUGGAUGAUAUAUUUUGUGACAUGAAAUAAUUACUUGAAAUGCCACCCGAUCACCGACGGCAUUAAGUCCGUCGGCAUUUCACAGAGAGUUCGAAAAUAAUUACUUGAAAUGCCACCCGAUCACCGACGGCCUUAAGUCCGUCGGCAUUUCACAGAGAGUUCGAAAAUAAUUACUUGAAAUGCCACCCUAUCACCGACGGCUACACCGACGGCCUUAAGUCCGUCGGCAUUUCACAGAAAGUUCGAAAAUAAUUACUUGAAAUGCCACCCUAUCACCGACGGCCACACCAACGCAUUUAAAUCCGUCGGUAAGUUGUCGGCGGGUCAAUUUUACCGACGAAAUUACCGACGGACCGCGCGAAUUUCAAAGGGUUGUGCAUUAAAUGCGCCUCUGACUGCGUCAUAUUGCCGACGGAAUUACCGACGGACCACGAAAAAUAUGGAGGGUCAUUAAAAAUUUUGGUGCGAAAUUCAAAAUUUACCGACGGAUUUUUAACAAAUCACCGACGGAAUAAAUUAAAAUAAUAAUUAAUUUUAUAUCCGUCGGUGAAGCCGUCGCUAAAACUGCCAUAUAAGUUCAAGUGACCGCCCGUUCAGUUCAUUUUUUCUUCUCCUUCGUUUCUCACCUUAAGAAUUUGAUUUUUUUUCCUCUCCAUUCUUCAAAGCUUUCACCUCCAAUCUCUAGCAAGUUUUCUUCAUCAUCUUCAUCAGUUUAAAAGGUUAGUGUUUCCUCUAUUUCAUUUUACUUUAAUAGUUCUUUUUUGCUAUUUUUUUGGUUAUUUUUUUUGUUUUGGUGUAUUUUUUGUAAUGUAGAUAAAGUCUAUAGUUUUUUUUGCAUAAUUCAUUGCUAAAGUUUAUAGUUUUUUUUUUUGAAUUUAUUGAAUAUUUUUUAUUGUUGUAUUGGCAUAAUUACUAUUAGUUAAUUUGUUGAAUAUUUAUUGUUAAUGUUGAAUUUACCAUAGAAUUAGUAAUUGAAUAUGUUGGAAUAAUUAUUAAUUUUACUUUAUUAUUGCAUGAUUUGUGUUUAAUUUUUUCCAUUUAUUUUGAUUGUUAUUCUAGAGUUUUUUUUUUAAUUUAUUGUUUUGUUGUAUUGGCAUAAUUAUUGAAUAAUUACUUGAAUUGUAAUUGUUAAUGUUGAAUUUACCGUAGAAUUAAUAAUUGAAUAUGUUGGAAUAAUUAUUAGUUUUACUCUAUUAUUGCAUGCUUUGUGUUUAAUUUUUUCCAUUUAUUUUGAUUGUUAUUCUACAGUUUUUUUUUUAUUUAUUGUUUUGUUGUAUUGACAUAAUUAUUGAAUAAUUACUUGAAUUGUAAUUCUUGAUGUUGAAUUUACCUUAGGAUUAGUAAUUGAAUAUGUUGGAAUAAUUAGUAUAGAUUGGGUAAAUUGGUUGUGGCUAUUGUUAAUAUGUGCAGGUUUGUGGAUUUGGGUAGUAUCCGGUAUAGGGGAGGUGCUGUCGAAUUUUUUUUUUACAUUUGAAUUUAAUUAUAUAAUUAUUUGUAUCAAAUUGUAUAGAUGCGUAGAACGAAAACCAGAGCUGGUCGCUCAAGUGCGGUCGCAGCUAGUUCGUCUAGCAGCGAGGAUGAUAUUUCCUUAGGUGCCUCUCAAGAAGAGGCACCUACACCACCUGCGUCGUCAACCGAUGUUGCCUCUUCCAGCGGUACUUCACAACGCAGAGGCGGCGUGCCUUCGCAGCGGAAUCAAUUUACCUGCAAGUACGAGGCACAGUGGAAGGACGACCUUUCAAUGUAAGUUAGUUAAGGUUUUAGUUUUUUUUUUAAAAAAUUACAACAUAAUUUAUGAAGUAAUCACUAUUGAAUUUAUUUCAUUUAUUUUGAGGUUCACAAACAUUGAAGCCGCCUGAGUAAUAUCAUCGGCGUUUAAAUCGUCGAUGGAGAUUCCAUUGUUUCAAUGGAGUCAGAUAUCCAAGCAUCCUGAAUGGAUGCCUCAAAUCAAUGCAUGGUUUAACAGGUUUGAGGUUGGUAUUAAUUUAUAAUUUUCAGCUUAUUAAUAUAAUUGUAUUAUUUUUAUUUAAACUUGUUUAUUUAUACACAACACAAAUUCUGCUAGGACAUUGAGCAUAACACUGUUGUGAGGAGGGUGUGGGAAAAUCACGCGGCAACUAGGUAAGAUCGAAAACAAUACAUGUUUUUUUUUAGACAAAAAUUUAUGUUUCGAAAUGUAAUUUUUGGUUGCGUGAUUUUUGGUAUGAAGCACAGAAAAAGGCAAAAAAAACCACGAGGGAUAGGGAUUUCCAAGGCUGGAUCGAUGUUGCGGUUUGGAGUGAUUUCAAACCAAUAUACAUCCCGGAAGAUAUAUGGCCGCACUAUCUUGAGCACGUGACAUCUGAGCGGUUCACACGACGCUCACAGUCCGGUUCUGGCAACCGGAAUCGGCCAAUUCAUGGCGGGGUGACAACGCACACUGGCGGCUCCGUUCCGUUUGCUGCACAUGCGAAACGGAUGGUAAGAUUAAUUUAAAUGAAAUAUAUCGUUAAAUUCAGUUGUUGUUAAUAUAUCUUUUUUCAUUAUAGGCUGCGUCUCUUGGACGUGAGCCGAGCCCGAUGCAGCUGUUUGUGGAGACGCACGUGCGGAGUCAAGACCGCCAGAAGGGGGCGCAAUAGUUCGUUGAUAACCGUGCUCAGCAUUUCGUGGUAUGUUUGUUCAACCAUUUUAUUUUGUAAGUUAUUAUGUAAGUUAUUAUGUUUAUUGUAUUGAAUAUGAUGAUUACUUUUUAUUUUUAUUUUCAGGAGACCUAUAAUAAUCGGUUGAGGGAGAGAUACGGGGACGAUACUUUGACCCAUCCGGAAUUCGAUCCGGAUUUGUGGAUGGAGGUUGGCUCGUCAGGUGGACCCGAUAAAAAUCGGGUUUACAGGCUCUCCAACACUACGGGCGACAACUUGCGGUCGACCCGUAGUGUUUCAACUGUUGGGAGCUCCCAAUCAAUAUCGAGCUCCCAAUCUAAGGAGUUCGUGGCUUUGCAGCAACUCACCGAGAAAUACGAUAACCUAAAAGCAGAGUACGCACAACUCAAAGCGGAACAAAGAGCAGAGUCUGAGCAACUCAAAGCGUCUCAAGCACAACAAAAAGCGGAGUAUGAAGCGGCUCAUGAACAACAAAAAGUGGCUGAUGAACAGCUCCACGAAAUGAUUAUGAAAUUGUCAAAUAGCGGAACAUGUGCGCCUAAUCUUUUUUGGCCGUAUAACCACCAGCCUCCGCCAGGAUCUCCUCCUCCUCCUCCAGCUCCAUCAUCUUUAUAUUAAUUUGUAAUCAACAUUAUUUACCUUUAAAACUUCAUUUAAUAUUUUUCUUGAAACAUAUUCAGUUUGUAAUUAAUAUUAUUUAACUUUGUUUUUUUUUUAUGUUUAAUAUAAAUUUUAUUUGCAUAAUUGGUUUGUAUUACAAUUAAUUUAUAUAGUUUUAUAUUAUAUAUCCUAAAUAAUUUUUUAAAAACAAAUUAAGAAAAAAACUAUUACCAAGGAUUUUACCGACGGAUGAAUUCGGUCGGUAUUUUAAACACUCACCGACAGACUUACCGACGGAAUUAAUCCGUCGGCAUGUAAUAGUAGCUUCCACAAUUACCGACGAAUUUACAGACGGACAUAUGCUGUCGGUAUUUCAUACACUCACCGACAGAUUUACCGACGGUUAUUGUUCGUCAGUCAAUCACAAUAUACCGACGGAAUAAAAAUCCGUCGGUAUAUUUCAAGCGGGAAUCUUUUUUUUUUGGCGCGCAAAUUCCGUCUGUAAAACCAUCGGCAAAUGGUUUUUUUGUUUUUCCGACCGAUAUAGCGAUGGAAUGGGGAAUCACCGACGAAGGUAAAGCCGACGGACGUAAUCCGUCGGUGAUGACGUCGGUAAAAAAAUCACCGACGAACUUCUAAUCACACACCGACAGAAUUUUUCCGUCGGUAAAACUGUGAAAUCUUGUAGUGUUUUAAUUUUCUAACAUAAGUAUAUGAGAUUCAAAGUUAUAUCAAUGUUUUAUUGUUUUUAGAUUUUUUAUGGAGUUGUUUUGAAUUAUAUAUAUUAUAAAAUACAUAAAUAAAUUAUGUGUUAGGUCCUGACAUGUGCAGGACCCAAUUGGGUGUUGGAUCCUGCACUUUGAGUCCUACAAGAUGCAGGACCCAACCUAAUUAGGUGUAGCGCAGGACCCACAAUAACUUUAGGUCUUGCAAGGUGGAGGACCCCAAUUAGCUUCGGGUCCUGCAUAGUGCAGGACCCCAUUUCAUGUUGGGUCCUGCCGGGUGCAGGACCCAUGUGGAUGUUGGGUCUUGACGGUGUAGGACCCAAUUGCGUGUUGGGUCCUGCCACCAGGACUCAACAGUUGUUGACCCACCACCCAAUUGAACCCUUCUGCCACCAGGACCGAACAUCUUUGGACCCUUUUAUAACCAGGACAAAACAUCAUCUCUUUUAUUUUGUUUAGGAGCUCUUUUAAAUUUUUAUUAUUAUUUAACCCGCAGCGGAGCGCGGGUCACAUAGCUAGUUUAUUUCUAUAAGCCAAUGUUUGGCAAAACCAUCUUUUCUUUCCCUAGAAAUUACCAAAAUGGACUUAAGUGUGUGUUUGCCAAACAUUUCCUUGGGCAAAAAAAAAAAUCCUUCACAAAAGGUUGUUCAAACGAACAAAGCCUUACGUACUUAAUCUAAAACAAAACCAAACGAGUCGACCCAAAGACACUAGUUUAACCAUGAACUGAACCAAAAAACAAGGUUUGACCUGAAAAAAAACUCAAACUAAUGUUUAAACUGAAACAAAGUCAAAGUUGAAAAUUAACACAAAACAUAAAAAAAAUUGCAGAAAAAUAGAUCAAACACUCAAAUCGUGAAGAACACAAAGAGCAUUCAUCAACAAACAAACAAACACAAAUCUCAAUCCAGUCAAGUUUUCAUGCAAUCAAGGGCAAUGUUUUAUUUGAAAUCAUGCAAGGAUCCAUAAUCUAGCAUCCAUUACUUCAAUUAUCAAAGAAUUAAUGUGAUUUUGUGAAAAUGAGUUUCGGUUGAAAACCAAAAUUUUAAGAUUAAAAACCCAGAAACUUGUUAUUAAUACAAAUAAACCCUAUAUUAUCUACUAGUCAAGUCGCCUGAAUGGUUUAGUGUAAACAAUGGGACCAAAGUUGAUCUAAAUCAUAGUGCUAAGGCAAUUUUCUUUCCAAGAACAUGAAGAAACCAAACCCAGCAACCUAAAAGUUCCCAGCCUACUAUUAAACCCAAAACUAGCCUCUUAGGCUUCUAAAACAUGUUUCUUUUGGUCCUUACAAACCAUAUUAUCAAUAUUAAGCAUCGUUGAAUUCAAAGAACUAACAAAUAAAAUAAAGCCAUCAAUAACAUGCAUGAAGUUCCAAAGUUCAAAACUACUAAAGAUAAUCAACAAGCAUAUUCAUGCUAUUUGGAUUCAAAACUUGAUAUUUUUAACAUCUAUAUGCCAAAACAUACUUGUAUGAACCAUGAACUUGCACUAAAAUCAUCAAAUUAAUCAACAUGCUUCCAAAUUAUUUAACCCACAAACAAAAACAACUUAUUGUUUUAUUACAAAACAGAUUCAAACACAAAUCAAAAUAUCUCAAAUACAUCAUCAUCAUGCUAUUAGGCUAAAAUCACAUAAUCAAACAAGUGUGACAACCAAGAAUCAUGUCUUUAAUGCAAGCCUCAAUAACAAAUUAUUAACCAAAACUAAAACAAAUUAUCAUAAUGAAAUCUAAUAAAACAAACUCUGCCGAAAAAACAUCAAAUUAUUCCAGCACCAAAAUCAAACCAAAAAAUGCAAGAUAAGCUCAAACAACAUAAAAAGAGGUUUAAACAAUAAGAAAGCAUGAAAAGAAAGGCCACAUGGACUCCACACUUGAAUUUCUACAUGUUAUAACUUCUCUAAGCUUGCUAGCUAUGAACUAUUUUCCUUCUCUUUUAUUUACUUCUUUCCCUUUCACUAUACUUUUUCCAAAGCUUGUUAGACCCUCUAUGUUAGGCUCUUGAACCUUCACACUAGGAUCUUUUCACAGUCAUGUUUUUCCUCUCUCUAUUUUUAUUUUUAUUUUUCAGGGGGUAUUUAUAAGGUUUUACUAGGAUCUUUGAUGGAUUCAAAUAUAGAUCGAUCAAAGCUUAGCUUUUUGAUCAAAAUGAGAGAGUUCUGGACAAAUGUUAACAAUCAGAACCUUUGUCUUUCAAUGGUUUUGGGACAGUGGUUUUGUAACAAAAUUACCUAGGAGGUUUUUUUUUCCUUGAGACAAAGGCAUGCAUCCCUCACCUUCUGAUUAUGGAUGAAAGAUUUAUGACCCUUAAUAAGAACCCUCUAAAAAAUUUUAAGUGUGAACACACGAAAAAGUUGAGAGGCUUUGUACAAUAGGUAUCUUAGUCAAGACUGACUGAGUUGACCAAUUUUGAGGCCACGCCAGAGUAACUCCAACGUAAAUGUCAUUGGAGACCACCUAAACUUUAUAGAGGAGAAUCACACCUUUCGAUUUGGUCCAUUCUUGUACAGUUUGGAUGUUUGUAUUUCCAUAUUCAUUUGUUGAAGGCGACAACUCGAUUAUCCGAGAAUCUGAAAAUGUAGUAAUGACUAAUUGGGAACAAGAUGUUGUUGAGUUCAAUAAAGAAAAUGGGAUAUAAAUGCUUGAUGGUCGUAGUUGAUCUUUGUAGAGGGGGUGUUUCUCAAUUAAAUGGUGGUGGUUACAGCCCUAGAAGUGGUCGGAAACGCUACAUUCAUUCGUUUGAAGGUGCCUACUUGAUCAACCAAAAUUGCCAACAAAACACUAAACAAUGGCCGAACGAUGUGUCGUCUAGGUUAAACCCUAGAAAUUAGGGUUUUUAAUUUGGGAUUUGAAAUUUUUCACUUUAGUCCCAAUUCUUCAAAUUUGUUUUAAUUGCACCUAUAAUUGUCUCUCAAACUCUUAAUUUCAUGUAAUUUCACCCUUGUCCAGCUCAAUCAUUAGCCUCAAAGUUCAGCGUCAUUUUAAUCUUGGUCCUUAGUUUCUAAUUUGUGCACUUGGACCCAUAAUUGACUAUUAAACUUUCAAUUUUCUUCAAUUUGGCCCCUAAUUUGGUCAAAUUUAGUCUCUACAGUCAUGCGCCUUUUUUUCAGUUUGGUCCUUGGCUUUAGAUUUCUUCAAUCAAGUCCCUAAUUGCCUACUAGACUUUAAUAUUCUUACAAUUAAGCCCUUGAUUCAUCCAAUUAAACCUCCUAAAAAACCAAUUAAGUCCUUGGACUUUAAUUUAUUUCAAUUAACACCCAAAUUGACUCUAAAAACUGAUUUUUCCCAGUAAUCAAGUCCUCAAUAAAAUUAAUUAAGCCUUCCAAAAUUCUCAUUAAGUCCUUACCUAUCCAAAUUUGUAUUUCUUUACCCUAAUAGAAAUAUUUUCACCAAUGGGAACCUUUGUCAAUUAGAAUUGGGUUGUUAAUUAUAGCAAUUUUGUACAUUUUGGUCCUCCAACUUUUCCACUUGUAAUUUGGUCCUUCACCAUCAACUUGAGUAAUCUUUUAGGUUUUUUUUUCAUGUAUAUCCUCUUGUAUUUUGAAUUUUCUCUUUCUAUUUUUUCUUUUUUCUUUUCUUGAUUUUUCGUGGAGUCAAAAGUAGGUAAUAACAAAUUGAUUGCAAAUAAGUUUUAAAAAUUGAAAACUAUAAUAUAAUUAGCACAUGAGAUUAAAAUUCUAGAUUUAGAAAAAUCAAGUAAGGACUUGAUUUACGAGAACGCAACCUAAGUGUUGAUCAAAUUCUAGGAGGAAGAACUAUCUUCAUACAAUUUUCACACAAAUCGAUCCUAAAUAAGUUUAUGUUGUUUAAUGAGAUCCAUGAGACUUGAAAAAACUAUUUUCACUAUGUCAUGUAUUUCAAGAAACCCAACAACGUAAUCAUAGAGAAAUAAGAGGUGCAGCAAAUCACUUUAAGGCACUCAUACUUUCUCAUCUUUUGGAGUAGCUGACUCUAAAACACUUGGCAUACACACACACACAAACAGUGGGAAAAGAAGAAGAAAACAAUUAAGUUAAAAAGGACUUAAUUAUGCUUUAUAAUUAACUUAACCAAGCAAAGCAAGGCCCAGUACAUUAUCACUAAAGAGCUCAAUAGAGUAAUUUUUUCUUUCGAUAAUCCAUAAUCACCACCCCACCAUAAUGUUUAGCUGCCUCCUUGUUGUUGAUAACAUCCAUUUUCAUCAUGGGAACUUGGAUUCCACCAUAAUCAUAUCGUUGCUGAUGGUGCUCUUGAGGAGUUGAAGACCUCCUAGGGCACCCGUACCACUCGUCUAUUAGUGCAAACCCUUCCAACCCAAUCUUGUAAAGGCGAUCUGCUUGGCGAGCCAUUUGCAAAAUGACACUAAAAAAUAAGAAGAAGAAACAGUUUAAGUAGGUUCUGAGUUUGAUCAGCUUGACUUGUACAUAUGGUUUGAAGCCAAGCUAGUCCGUAUAUAUAGAAAUCAUAGAAACCCUCUCUAUCUAAGCUUAUAGGUUCACUGUGGUCAAAAUCAAAAUCUUCAAAGAAAGAUAUAAUUUUCACAACUUUUGAUCAUUGAUUCUGUUGCUUUUUCUUUUUUAUUAUUCUCAAUAUGUUGUUAAUUCCAUCACAUCUCAGAGAAACUAUCCAAAGGCUUUACCAAGUAUCACGACUUUUCCAAAAUUCAAUCAAGAAAUAUCAAAUCAUUCUGGAUAUGCAUGCAUGAUUCACCAUAAUAAUUAUAGCAUUCUUUGAAAAUAUAGGGAAGAAGGCUUUGUUCCUUGCAAGAAGGGUGGAUUUAUGGUUAAGUUCUUUGAAAAUAAUUACAGCAUUCACAUUUUAUGCAGUUUCUUUCUCUAAUGAGAAAAAUCUAUACUUUUCCCUUCAUCCCAAACAUUUGUUACAGAGUUAGCUAUGAGUCGAUUGACGAAUUAAACAUAUUCUUUCCUUGUGCAUGAAGUGUGAAGACUGAGAAUGACCUUUUUGACUAAACCCACAAGAUACUCCAAAUUGGAUCCUCAAGGACCGCUUUCCAAAUCGAGCAGGACCAGGGAAAAAAAAGUUCUUAUUAAUACCAAUUUUUCAUGGUAUGAAAAAUCUGCCCCAAUGUUGUGUUGGUAUCUUUAAGGUUCUAAAUGCUUGAAAUAUUCUUGUCAAUUAAUGCGGUAGGCAAAGGUCUGGAUUUAAGGUCCUGGCGGUGGCAAGGCAGGUAAGAUAUUGUCUGAUGCUUUUUUACUUGAAUAUUAUAGCCGGUUCAUGCGAAAGAAUAUUUCAUUUCAAAAUUAGAUUAAGUAUAUGACAUAGAAUUCGGAUUAAUCAAGAGUUCAUGAAUAAAGUGAUAAGAAAUAUAUAUAAUUGAGAGAUAAGAAAGGAAUAUUUAUUGGUAACUCCUUCUCUCUUGAACGGCUUUCAUGCUUAGACAAAUCCACUUGUAUACAUCACCACUUUUCUAUAUUGAAGUUUUUUAAUUACUACUAUUGUUUCAGACAAAUUGCUAUAAUGUUGUGAAAUUUUAAGGGAAAUGCUUAUUAUUGUGUAUUUUUUCUGGACCGUUGGACACUUUUAAUUUGGUUUGAUGUGUAUUAUUGAUUUUGAGGUGAUUUGAGUAUUUGUGGUGAAUUAUGAGUUUAUUAUUAGAUUGUGAUUGUUUUUUGGAUAUUAAAUAUUGAUGUAUGAAUUAUGCUUGGGUUUGUGUUAAUUCCUUCGAAUUAAUACGCAGUUUAAACAAAGUUUGUGAAAUUAAUAAGAUUCGUGUGGAUUUUUGGUGUUGCUCGUUUCAAGUUGAUGAACGAUAUUUUGUUUUGAAUUAAUAUCGUGGUUAAAAUAGCCUUGAUAAAAAUAAUUUAUAUGUGUUUUACUAAAUACGGUCUUCGUCCAUUUUCAAAAUCUUUGGAAGAUCAUCAUGCAAUUAAUUUUGAGUUCCCAAUAUUUUCCAACCAUCACGUAUUUAGUAUUUGAAAUCGUGACUUACACACGAGAUGCUUCUUCGAUGUUAAAGGAAUCGUUUUACCUUUUACAAAAACAACAAAAAAAAAUCUCUUCUUUCAAAAAUACAAUUUUAUUUUAAAAAACAUACAACCAAGUCUCCCAAAAAUAAAAAAAAAUCAUAUCUUGCUUAAAAAAUAAAAUACAUGGUUUGUCUUAGUACCAAACUAUAACAUCCUCAAAUUAUAAUGUCAUGAAAUCUCAAAUGUUUCUUUACGAAUGUUAAGUAUUGAAUAAUAUGUCUAAGAUUAUGGAUUUUUAUUUUUUUUUUGAAAAGUUCGGCAGAGUUUCCUCUAUUUUUGUUGGUACCAAGUUAUCGACAACAUUUCUAUUAUAUGUCAUUACAACUUCCAUCUUGAUCCAAUCAUCCUGGAUCACAUCUCAUUCAUUAAUCAAUCUCUCAAAACUUAUACUUAUCAAUAUUGUUGCUACCCAAUUUUUGACCCAUGUUUUGAUAAAUUUUCAGAAAAAUCCAAAAAUAGCGAAAAACAUUGAAAAUCCAAAAAAAUACGUUUUUAAUACAUUUGCAUCGUUUUUUAGCAUUUUUAGCAUCGUCUCAAAAGAAUUUAAAUUUUCAAAGAUAUUUGGAACGCGUUCAACUUUUCACGCGUCAUUUUUAAAAUCAUUGAUUUCCCGCAUUGAGUCGAUGUUGAUAUUUGCUCGCUUUCAAAAAUACAAAAAAAAUAAGAAAAAUCAAAAUUUACAAAAAAAGAGGAAAAGAGAAGGAAAGGAAAAGUUGAGGGACUAGUUUGAAAACCUAGCAAAACUUUUCCUAUAAAUACCAAGCUACACUGGUUUUUAAAGGGGGGGCAAUUUUGACAACAUAAAAAAAAAUACAAAAAAAACCUAACCCUGGUUUUUCAACCGACCCAGCAGCUGCUCCCACUCCAGCUUUCCCAGACCGUCUUGUUCUCUUUUUCUUCCAGCGGCGGCGGCAGCAGCCAGCCACCUCGUCGCCUCCUUCAAUCAGCGUCGCCGACCGGACAAACGCUCCCUCUCUCCACCGCAGCUCCAACAACUACAGACGACAACCGUGCCAGAUCUGUCACCGGAGCAAACCAUAACUAAAAAAAGGAAUUAAGAACAGAUCCGAAAACAGUUAAAGAAAAACUAAAAUCGACUGUGUUGUUGCGAUUUUUGUUUGUUAUUGCAGGUGAUUGUGUUCCUCACAACCAGCAAGGAAGGGAAGGGGAGAAGAAGCUGAGCCAGAUCAUCCACUUCUCGUUUUCUUCCUGCGGCGGCGCGUGAGUCCACGCGCCGCCAGUAACGGUGGCGCGUGAGUCCACGCGCCGCCAGUAACGGUGGCGCGUGGGAAGACGCGCCGCCACUGUUCCUGCGGUGCAGAAGGGCUUCCCUGUAAUUUCUGGAUUUUUAGGGACUGUUUUUGUAAUUUUUAGGAUUAUGUUAUUGUAAUAUUAUUGUAAUUUUUGUUUAGUUUGUUUAGAAAUUGUAUUUUGUAUUGUGGAUGUAAAAACAAAAGGAACAAAAGAAAGGAAAAGAAAAGAAAAGAAACAAAAAUAUAGUAAGAGUGAAUGUGUGUGUGUUUGUAUUUUUUUUUUUAUAUAUAUAUAUUUUUUAUGAUAAAAUUGCAAAGAUUAAAGAAGAAUUUAAUAUUUUGAUUGGAUCACGGUUAAGAAUUAUUAACUUAUACGUAAGUUGUAUUUCUAAUAUCCGAUGAAAAAACAAUUAUUAAAACUUCUUUAAACACAUUAAAUUCGCGAAGCAGCUUACCUCAGGUAGGGUGCGUUAGGGGUGCUAAUACCUUCCCUAACCACAACCAGUCCCUUACCCGCGAAUCUCUGAUAAGACCAGUACAUCCGGUUUCCUAGUAGCCUUCAAUAAAUUACUAGGUGGCGACUCCAACGAACCAAUUCAAAUCAAACAUAACAACAGAUAAAAUCGCCAGCCGAUGCCGCGCGGAUUUUUUAUGACGUGCGACAAAAUGGCGACUCCACUGGGGAAGGUACUGUUUCUGACAAUAUUGGACUAAGCUUUGUGUAUUUGAUGUGUUUAAGUUUUUGCAUUUUUGUCUUGUUUUAUCUUUGUUUUAUCCAUGUAUUUUUAGAAUUGUUUCAUGCAUCACCUGUAUUUAUUUUUUAAAGCACACACAAGCUUCUAAGUUAGGUGGUGAAUUAGCGAUCUGCCCUAUGACUAUUGGUCAGGGUUCAGAUGCGUGAAAAACCGAACUCAUAUCUGAGUGCCUGCUUGGUAAUGGUGGGUAGACGUACCUUAACUAUUCCUUGCAACGCCCCCAUACUGUCUUUACGAAGAACGUCACUGGGCAGAUAUGAGACCCUUUUGAGACCAGGUAGAAAACCUACCCAUGAUCACAUAAUGAAUAGAACCUAUCCUUAGGUUGUAUGUGCUAUUUUUAUUUGCAUCAGGGCAAACCCUUCUUGAAGCAUCUUGAACUCAAGACUUGUGGGUGACACAAUGACCGUCACUCAGAAAAUUUUCAUUGUAGAGUUUGGGCAAGAAUCAAGAUUCUUGUUUCAUCAUGCAAGAGUUACGACCAUAUUGUCACCCCUCGAAGGGCGAGUUCUUCAUAUAGUUUGCAUGUUCAUACAUUUAUCAUGCAUGUACCGGGAGGAAAAAUAGGUUCCCCCAUCUGAGCUUUGCUACACCUGAUUGAACAAAGAUGAUGGGAAAUGAAGAAAGGGGUCAAAGAGAAGCUCAUCAUCAAAGGUGAAGUAGCUAGACCCAGAUCUCCCUGAACAAGUGUAGAGCAUCAGAGGGAAAGGGAAUGUCUACACAGUCUUCUGUGGGAACACUGCUUGUCCAUGUCCCAUUGAAGUUACACCUCCUCUUUUCAGUCAUGAAUAAUUGCAGUAAUGCCUUCAGUCAUCAGCUAAUGACAACCUUUGUUCUUGUUCAGUUGCACUGAUAAUUAUUCAUCGCCUCCGUAUCUGCUAAUGGAACCAAAUAACUACUAGCCUUCUGUGCAUGGUGUGUUAGCCUUCUUUGACGUUACCCCAACUGUUAGCUCAAUUCCAGUUCAGCGGCACAAGAUGUAAAAAAAAAAAAAAAAAAAAAACCCCGAAAAAAAAAACCAUGAUUCGACCCUGAACUUCUACGUUGCAGAGCUCUCUCUACAAAAAUCCGUUUAUGGCUCUGCAAGUGGGGAAUGCAAGAGGAGAUGUAGAAGUUUCAAAUGAUAUGAAAAUUUACCCCACCAGUUUCAGCAUCGAAACACUGUAGUAGGCAGUAAAGCCAGACUUGAGCUAGAAAACAGGAGCAAAUAUAGAACUUCACCGUGGCAGAGCUCUCUCUGCAGAAAUCUGUUUGUAGCUCUGCAAGUGGAGAAUCCAAGAAGGGAUGCAGUAGUUUCUGAUCAUCUAUAAUUUUCUCUCAUCAGUGUUAGCUUGAAAAUGCAAAAGUAGGGAAAAGAGACAAACCUCGGCUGAAAAAUAGAAAGAAGAUUGAAACUUCAACAGAGCAGAGCUCCCUCUACAGGUGUCUGUUUGAUGCACCGUCAGUGAUGAAUCAAAUAGGAGACAAAGGAGUUUUAGAUUCAUCAGGUUCUCCCCUAGUUGAGACAACGCGUGAUUUCACACAUCAGUAGUGGCAGUGCUGCAUGUUUCUGUGCGCUGCCAAGAUUACCUAGUUAUUGGAAGGCUCUCCAACAACCCUCAAACAACCAUAACAACAUGAGAAGAUUGACAUGAUGUUGUGAAGAUUGUCAAAAGAAUUGAACAAGCUAUGAAGAGAGGAAAGAUUGAAGGAUUUGUCAUGGAUUCCAGAAUUGUGAAGAGAGUUGAAUCAGAAGAUGACUCUCGAUUGAGAAACCUCAAUUAUUUUGCCUAGUCAAGUCUCGCUCAAAGCACCAACUACUCCAAUGUCUUUGCCAAAGAUAGACAUUCCUUUGCCAUGUGGGUUUAUUUACUAGCAUCUGCCAGAUUCCAGACUUAAUGCCUGACUCCGACAAAACCCAUGCAACCACCGUUUUCUAGGUGGUAUAAUCCAGACAAGAGAUGUGAUGUCAUGGUGGGGUCCUCAGCCAUUUCAAUUGAACAAUUGCAAGAAUCGAGUCCGGAAGUUGGUGAGCAAAAGACGAGAGGAAUCUGUGAAGGAGCUUGUCAUCGAUCAUUUUGUCGUCAGAACAUCCUCAGAAUGACGAGUGAUCGAAAUUGCUUGGCAAAACAGAGAUAUUGCCAAAGAGGCUGAUCUAAGAAGGGGUUAAACUGUCAAUCAUUUUUGUUAUGGAUUUUGCCAUCUUGCAUUUUGUUUUGGGGUCACAUCUCAUCCUUGAACGAAACAUGUCUUUCCUUUGUCUUCCUGUUGUUUUGAAAUCAAGAGAUGCUUCUUUCAAAGGGUAUUUUUACAAAAUAUUUUGAUCAAGCUCCAACAUGCGAUUAAGAUUAAUCAAUCCUGAAGAUUAAAAGUAUUUUGAUUGCAGAAAUAACUCGAUGCUUGAAAAUGACAUGAGGUGACGAAACAAUUUUGAACUCAUACCUCCUGAAACUGAACCACACAUCAUAUAACUAAGUUUUAGCAGUAUGCAUAAUGACAUGUAGUGGAUUCAGUAGUUAUGGACUCGUGAAUCAUGACUCUUACAAGUCCAAAUCAUUACAUUGGAUGAGGUCAAAGUUUAUCGGUUCUAACCGACCUUGCUUGAAAUGAGAAAAGGCCAUCUUUGUUAUCCUUUCACAUUUCUUGAAAUAUUAUCCCUUGUGGUCCCCAUUUGAGCCUGGUAAAAUAUUUUCUUUCAAGAAACCUUGACUAGGAUCACACCCCACACUGGGGGCAAUGAGAGAUAUGUUAUUAGGAAGGAUGAAGACACUGAUAGAAUCAAUGAAAAAAGAAAGGCUUAGAAUAAAAGCCCAAUGAUUGAGAAAGGGAGAACAAGAAAAGCCAUAGAUUGAGGGCCAUCCAAGAAAACUUUGAGGAAGGUUAUGUAAAAGCAAAAAAAGUGGAAAUGAAGGAGAAUGCCUAUCAAUUCUAAGAGGGGCAAAAGAGGUUUCAAUGGAAGAAAGACACAACAAAUGUCAAAAGUCAACACCAAAAAAUCAAGUUUCAUGUCUUUUGGUGUGUCUAGGAUAAAGCCUUUAGUGUCUUCAAAAUUUUUUAGAUUCAUUAUUCAUCAGAGAAAGUUGGAUUUGCAUUAUGACCUAUGUUAAGAGAAUUCUGAUAUUUGAGAUUAACAAGGUUAUAUCACUUUCUCUACUAUGACAACAAGAGAAAGAGAGUUGAUGAAUAGUUGAUGUUGAUCCUAGGUCUUUGAAACCCUCAAACACCUUUUGAGCCUGAAUUUUCCUUUCUUUCAUAAGCCAUGAACCAUAGCCUGCAUUACGUGCUUUUAAAAGCCCUUUUUAAUCAAGUAAGCAAUCUGAACCGAUAAAUGACGAUCUCAAAACUUGAAGAGUUUUCCAUAAGAGUCAUAGCUUCAUGGAUUAAGCUACUGGUUAUUAUGCAUGCUGAUAAAAUUGGUGUAAAAAAAAAAAACAAUCUUUCUUGAUGAAUCCUCAAGUUUUGACUUGAGUCUUUUGUUUUUUGAAAUUCACAGAAGGUCACCUCAUUGUAGACCGUGAAAAGAUAUACCCAAGAUCAAAGAUUAAAACUAACAUAAAGAACCAUGAAAAAAGUCAUUUUAAACUUACAACGGGUCCAUUUCUGUUUUCAAAAUACAAGACAAUCAAAGGAUUACAUUGAAUGAUGUGUGUUGGGUCUUUGACCAAAAAGCAUGAUAUUUAAAAGAUCUUUUCCAAAAUAGAUAUCUCUCUAAUUUCAUUUCAACAAUUAGACUUGAAUUGACAUGAUCUUUGAAAUAUGAGAGUUGAUUCCAAAACAAGAAAGAUUGUUAAACAACAAGAACAUCGACCGAAUUUGCAAAAUCCUUGACAAGAAUGACAUCAACAUUUCUCGACACUCCUUGAAAAGUUGACCACCUAGAGGCAACACAGUGGAUCAAGGGUAGGAAAACAAAUAGUAUUCAGAUCAGCUGGGGGCAAUGAAAGAUGAUUAAAUGAUGAAUCAGUGUACUGAAGACAAUGGUGUUCAAAGAAAGAUAAUCAAUGAACGAGCACAUUCAGAUCAUAUUGGGGGCAAUGUUGUUCAAAGAUAGUCCAUGAUCUAGUGAACCCCGUCAACAAUCGGGAAAGCAAAGAUACACUUGAAGGAAAUCUUUUGAAACAUGGCUAUCGACCGAUGUGGGCGUACAGUUGCAUUCGAACGAAUAUGAAAAGAUGCACACCACCAAGAUUGAUUGCGGAACAAUGUUGUACUUGAAGGAUAAUGUCAUAUUAUCAUCUCCAACAUGGCUAUGACUUUUGAACGAUGUUAUCGCAUAGUUGUAUUUGAAUGAAUAUUGGAAGGAUGCACUCAUGAAGACUGACUGUGGGACCAUCUUGUUUUGAAGCUCGAAGGCGCACUUCAUCGCAUGAAUAUGGGUGAUAACAUGAACAUCAUUGAUGAUGUCAAGACAUUUCUUUCCACUAUCUGAUUUGACAAACUGAGAGAAAUCCAUGAGAAAGAACAUUGAGCAUACAACGAUGAGUCUUUCACUGCAAGCUAUGAGAUGCAUGUCUGGACGACUAGAUGAUUUCCAUGAAGACUGGUGAUAACAUAUACUUGAAGAGUAUUGUUUCAGCUUGAGGCAAGUUCAUGACUGAUUAACAAUCUUGAUGGGUUGGCAUGAUGCACACAACCAAUCAGAGGAUAAUUCUCAGAAGAAUCCAGGAGAGAAAAUCCUUCAUGAUGAAUCAAGCAACACCACACUUGGGGGCAGAGUCAAGCUUGAUAAACAACAAGAGCAGUAAUCAUCGUAGACAGCCCGAGAUGGGCACUACACUUACAUUUGAGUGGAAGGCUAGCAUACGAAUGAGCCAGUACAUGGGAAGGACAAAUAAAGCUUUGGAAUGCAAACAAAGGCACCCUGUGAUGAUGGAACAUCGAAGAGGGGGGACCUAUAUUUCGAAUCAGGUAAGGAUGCAUGCAUGUCAGCUAACGUUAAAACAUUGUACAUAUUUUUUAUUUUGUUGCAGGAAAAAUCCUCAAUGUAGUUUAGCAAGAUUGGGGACCAAAAAAAAGAGAGAGAGAAAACAAAAAAGGAGAAUCAUUGAGCUGAUAAUGACAGAGAAUCAUGUUGUGACCUUGGAACGGGAAGAAGAUGAGAUAAGCCUUUUUGUUAGGAAAAUCUCAAAGAAAUGAAAAGAUCAACCUUGCAAUCAGGAAGCAUCGAGUUUUCAAACCCUGCGAUCUAGAAUUAUCAAGAAGCACCAAGUUUUCCGGCCCUUCUUCUAUCAUCCCUUCAGGACUCCGCCAGGUAAGUCCCAUUUUUCACACUUGUCACAUCACAUCUUUUAUUUGGGUAGGUCACCCAUAACAAUGAGACCAAUUCAUAUUUUUUAUAUCCUCCGCCUGGGUAGGUCACCCAUAACAAUGAGACCACUUCACAUUUUUUCUAUCCUCCACCUGGGUAGGUCACCCAUUACAAUGAGACCACUUCAUAUUUUUUCUAUCGUCCACUUGGGUAGGUCACCCAUAACAAUGAGACCACUUCACAUUUUUUCUAUCCUCCACCUGGGUAGGUCACCCAUAACAAUGAGACCACUUCACAUUUUUUCUAUCCUCCACCUGGGUAGGUCACCCAUAACAAUGAGACCACUUCAUAUUUUUUCUAUCCUCCACCUGGGUAGGUCACCCAUUACAAUGAGACCACUUCAUAUUUUUUCUAUCUUCCACCUGGGUAGGUCACCCAUUAUAAUGAGACCGCACUUCACAUUCUUUCCAUUUGGGUAGGUCACCCAUCAUAAUGAGACCGUUUUCCACAUUAUUUUUCUUGGGUAGGUCACCCAUACAAUGAGACCAUCAUUUUUCUUGGGUUCGUCACCCAUACAAUGAGACCAUCAUUUUUCUUGGGUUCGUCACCCAUACAAUGAGACCAUCAUUUUUCUUGGGUUCGUCACCCAUACAAUGAGACCAUCAUUUUUCUUGGGUUAGUCACCCAUACAAUGAGACCAUCAUUUUUCUUGGGUUCGUCACCCAUACAAUGAGACCAUCAUUUUUCUUGGGUUCGUCACCCAUACAAUGAGACCAUUUGUUCCACAUUCUUUGUUUUGGUUUAAUGAGGUCGCCAGAUGGGAUCUCAUGUAGCUUUGGUUAAAGGGAAUCGCCAGAUGGGAUUUCAGGUUGACCGAGUUACGUAACAUCUUUUAGUUUUGGUUUAAUGAGGUCGCCAGAUGGAUCUCAUGUAGCUUUGGUUAAAGGGAAUCGCCAGAUGGGAUUUCAGGUUGACCGAGCUACCACACAUUUUUUAGUUCCAGUUGAAUGAGGUUGCCAGAUGGAAUCUCAUGUAGCUUUGGUUAAAGGGAACCGCCAGAUGGGAUUUCAGGUUGACCGAGCUACACACAUUUUUUAAGUUCCAGUUGAAUGAGGUCGCCAGAUGGGAUCUCAUGUAGCUUUGGUUAAAGGGAAUCGCCAGAUGGGAUUUCAGGUUGACCGAGCUACCAUAUUUUUUAGUUCCAGUUGAAUGAGGUCGCCAGAUGGGAUCUCAUGUAGCUUUGGUUAAAGGGAAUCGCCAGAUGGGAUUUCAGGUUGACCGAGCUACACAUAUUGUUUUUAGUUUUGGUUUAAUGAGGUCGCCAGAUGGGAUCUCAUGUUGGUUCUGGUUAAAGGGGAUCGCCGGACGGGAUCUCAGGUUAGCCCAACCACACAGGAUUUGGUUCUGGUUAAAGGGGAUCGUCGGACGCGAUCUCAGGUUAGCCCAACCACGCAGAUUUUGGUUUUGGUUCAAGGAGAUCGCCCGAUGGGAUCUCACAGAAAAAAAAAAGGAAAAAAAAAAGAAAGAAACAUUUAGAGUUUUUCUUUACAAAGCUUACUAUGCGAAACAUUGAGGAGUUUUGCUUCGUAAGCAUUGUAAAUAGGGGCAUCUGUUGCUACCCAAUUUUUGACCCAUGUUUUGAUAAAUUUUCAGAAAAAUCCAAAAAUAGCGAAAAACAUUGAAAAUCCAAAAAAAUACGUUUUUAAUACAUUUGCAUCGUUUUUUAGCAUUUUUAGCAUCGUCUCAAAAGAAUUUAAAUUUUCAAAGAUAUUUGGAACACUUUCAACUUUUCACGCGUCAUUUUUAAAAUCAUUGAUUUCCCGCAUUGCGUCGAUGUUGAUAUUUGCUCGCUUUCAAAAAUACAAAAAAAAUAAGAAAAAUCAAAAUUUACAAAAAAAGAGGAAAAGAGAAGGAAAGGAAAAGUUGAGGGACUAGUUUGAAAACCUAGCAAAACUUUUCCUAUAAAUACCAAGCUACACUGGUUUUUAAAGGGGGGGCAAUUUUGACAACAUAAAAAAAAUACAAAAAAAACCUAACCCUAAAAAACUUAAUCUUCUUCUUCCUGCAGCCGCCCCCCGGUUGAAAAUUUUCUCCCCUCUCUCAGCCGCACAUAACCCCCCGGUGGUCUCCAUUUUUCCCUCAAACCGGCGCCAUCCUUUCUUCCUUCUACCACACCGCCGGUCCCUCUCUGUCUCCCUUCCUCACACACUGCCAAGCUGGCCAUUACAACUCAAACAACCCACAUCAACCUCCCACAGAGCAGCCGUCCCAACUCAGCUUCUUUUCCCUCUCAGUUGCAGGAGCAAGAGACGAACGGAGUGGAGACCCAGCUCCCUCCUCACUUCGCCUCAGCAGCAGCGUCUCCUCAUCACAGCGCCGCCGUCUCUAGCUCCUUCUCCACGCACGGCUACUGUUGUAACCCAUUUUUGGGUCCCCACAAAAUAUAUAUAAAAAUACAUAGCCAAAGGAGGUUAGAAAAAUAACAGGAGGCAGAAGCACUCAGAAAGUGGUUGGAAAAUUGGGCAAUGAGGGUAAAAAUACAAAGAUUGGAUUUUUGACAGUAUAGUCUUGAAGGAGGAGAGCCCUGUUGAGAAGGAAAAUUUGAAAUUUGAGGAGAAAAGCCCAAAUUUAGAUGUUUAUGGGCUUAAUUUGAUUUUUAAAUGAAUUUAUAGGGGAUUUGAUUGCAAGAAAAAUUGAUUUUUAAGUCAAUUUGGGUUUUAAUUAGAAGAAAUUUAAGUUCUGGGGCCAAAAUAUAAUUUUUAGGAAUUUAUUAGGUCAAAUCAGGGGCCUAAUUGCAUAAAUAUUGAAGUUUAAGGGCCAAUUGGGGACUUAAUUAAGAAAAUUCGAAACCAGGGACCAAAUUGGAAGAGACGCGUAAAUGGAGGGGCUGUAAUUAAUUGAUUCAGGGGCCUAAUUGAAGAAAUUAGAAGUUUUUUUGAUCAAUUAAGGGCUCAAUUGCAUAAAUCAGAGGCCAAGGACUAAAGUGAAAAACGCGGCCAACAAGAGGGGCGGAGACCGAAAUUGGCAGGGAUGCAAUUGAAGAACAAAAAAGAUGAUUGAGGGCUGAUUUGAAAUUUGGCGCGUUUUGGCGCCACAUUUAAAUGAAACGGAGCUUUUUCUCCAAAACGACGCCGUUUCAUACAUUCAAGAAAAAAAAAAAAAAAAGAGAAAGAGCAGAACGGUGUCGUUUUGAACGACACUGUUCAUCUUCUUCCCCCCGAUCACGCAGCGGGGAGGAAGGAAAAGUGAAGCUUUUUUUUGAAUUUUUGCCGGCCACUCUCUCGCCUGGAGCCCACCGACCGGACACAAUGGCCGACCACCCACCGCGCACCACCCACCGAACCUUGGCAGUCGCACCAAUGGCCGACCAGCCGUUUGCUCCCCAUGAGAGCAGUACAAAGCCACGCCUUUGGCUCUAUAAAUAGGACCCCAAGAGCGCUGGUGGACGGAGAGGAAGGAGAGGACAGAGGGGGAAGAGAAAAAAAGAGAAAAACAGAGGAGAGACGGGGAGAAAAAACGAAAAAAACAGAGGAGAGAGAGAGGAAGAGGUAGAACGAAGGAGAGAGAAGGAAAAGAGGGGAACGAAAAAACAGAGAAGAGGAACGGGAAGAGAGGAAGAAUCAACCCGAAAACAAAAGAAAAAAAAAGCAAACCGAAAAAAACAAAGAGAAAAGGAGCAACGGAGAGAACGAACCAAACCGUCGGAAACAGUCGCAGCGCCACCAGCCUCCGCCACAGCGCCGCCAGAAACGCAGCAAGCCACCGCCUCCUCCGCGCCAGGUAACCCCUUCUUCCCCCCCUGUUCUGGCGUUUACGUUUUUUUUUCCUUCUCUGCAUGCAGAACGAAUAGCGUUCUGCAUGCAGAGGUGGGGGGGAAAUUAAUUCCCCCCCCGCCCGUUUUGAUCUGGGCCGGCCGGAUCCGGCCCAGUCCUGCCUUAUGGGCCGGAUCUGGCCCAGCCCUGUCUUCUGGGCCGGGUCUGGCCCAGAAGAGAAUAUUUAUUUUUUUGGGCCGAGAUCGGCCCAAUCCAUUUUGGGCCGAAAUCGGCCCAACAAUUUUGGGCUGAGUCCGGCCCAGUCGGUUGGGCCGGACCAGCCCAGCCCAUUUAGUAUUAUAUAUAUAUAUAUAUAUAUAUAUAUAUAUAUUAUAUUUUGUAUUAUUUAUAUAUAUAUAUAUAUAUAUAUAUAUGAAAAAAAAUUAUAAAAAUUUUACAAAAAUUAUAAAAAAAAUAUAUGUGAUUUUGCUGUAAUUUUAUUACUGUAUUUUGAUUAAUAUCGGUUGGUAUUUUUAUACUGUAAAGAUACAAAUCCGGUAUUAACAUACCCGGUUUUCAUCAAAACAUCAAAGAUUUCAAAAAUAAAAAAUAUCUUUUGCUUUCAAAAAUUUCUAAAAUAUCUUUAAAAAUAUUGUUGAUUUUUCUGCAUUUGCUUUAUCAAAGUGGAUUAAUAUUUGGUUGUAUUUUUAUACAGUAAGGAUACAAACCCAGUAUUAAAAUACCCGACUUGCGUCAAAACGUAUAAAAUACAUAUUUAAAAAAUGUUUUGUUUUAAAAUACGGCCUAGUCUCUCCAAUAUAUAUAUAUAAAUAUUAUAACAUCAUCUUUUUCAUAUAACAAAGAAAAUUUCAAAACAAUAUAUGUAUUAACAUGCAUUUUGGCUUCAAUAACCAGUUUAUUCAAGCCAUGAGAACUAGGCCAAUAUUUUAAAAAUUCUAAAAAUAUUUUUGUCCUCUUUUAGUAUUUGGGAUUACGAAUUUAUACGUAAAACGUAUUCUUGAUAUUAAAAAUAUGUUUUUUUAGACAUUAGAACGGUUAAGCUUUACCCGAUAAGAUAAGGACCUCCUUAUUGAGGAGGACUUUUCUUGAACCAUAGACGGACUAACAAUUAGGAAACACAACGAAACCCUGAAUUUUAUCAGACAAAUAAACCAUGCAGCUUACCUUAGGUAGGGCGUAUUUGGGGUGCUAAUACCUUCCCUUUACGCAACCAGUCCCCGUACCCAAUCUCUGAGACCAGUUAGGGUUCCUAGUGACCAAAAUACUAGGUGGCGACUCCCAUUCCAUUAUCCACCAAUAAAAGACUAGAUUUUCUUAUCCCUCGUAUUGGCCACAUAAAUAAAGAUAUAUACCAUAUACACUUCCUAUCCUUUUUUUAAAAAAAGUGGAAUACUCGCCGCGACGCCGCGCACCCGCGACAGCUACACCCAACCGAGACCCAGCUCCUCCAUAUCAACGGAUCCUCUUCUCCUUCGGUCUCCUCGUCGCCUCCUUCUUCGGCUGAGCAGUGCCGGCUCCAGCCUCCCCCUUAGCAGUGGCCGCGGCAGCAGCAACCCACCGCCGGGUCUCCCUCAACCGACCCAGCAGCUGCUCCCACUCCAGCUUUCCCAGACCGUCUUGUUCUCUUUUUCUUCCAGCGGCGGCGGCAGCAGCCAGCCACCUCGUCGCCUCCUUCAAUCAGCGUCGCCGACCGGACAAACGCUCCCUCUCUCCACCGCAGCUCCAACAACUACAGACGACAACCGUGCCAGAUCUGUCACCGGAGCAAACCAUAACUAAAAAAAGGAAUUAAGAACAUAUCCGAAAACAGUUAAAGAAAAACUAAAAUCGACUGUGUUGUUGCGAUUUUUGUUUGUUAUUGCAGGUGAUUGUGUUCCUCACAACCAGCAAGGAAGGGAAGGGGAGAAGAAGCUGAGCCAGAUCAUCCACUUCUCGUUUUCUUCCUGCGGCGGCGCGUGAGUCCACGCGCCGCCAGUAACGGUGGCGCGUGGGAAGACGCGCCGCCACUGUUCCUGCGGUGCAGAAGGGCUUCCCUGUAAUUUCUGGAUUUUUAGGGACUGUUUUUGUAAUUUUUAGGAUUAUGUUAUUGUAAUAUUAUUGUAAUUUUUGUUUAGUUUGUUUAGAAAUUGUAUUUUGUAUUGUGGAUGUAAAAACAAAAGGAACAAAAGAAAGGAAAAGAAAAGAAAAGAAACAAAAAUAUAGUAAGAGUGAAUGUGUGUGUGUUUGUAUUUUUUUUUUUUAUAUAUAUAUAUUUUUUAUGAUAAAAUUGCAAAGAUUAAAGAAGAAUUUAAUAUUUUGAUUGGAUCACGGUUAAGAAUUAUUAACUUAUACGUAAGUUGUAUUUCUAAUAUCCGAUGAAAAAACAAUUAUUAAAACUUCUUUAAACACAUUAAAUUCGCGAAGCAGCUUACCUCAGGUAGGGUGCGUUAGGGGUGCUAAUACCUUCCCUAACCACAACCAGUCCCUUACCCGCGAAUCUCUGAUAAGACCAGUACAUCCGGUUUCCUAGUAGCCUUAAAUAAAUUACUAGGUGGCGACUCCAAUGAACCAAUUCAAAUCAAACAUAACAACAGAUAAAAUCGCCAGCCGAUGCCGCGCGGAUUUUUUAUGACGUGCGACAAAUAUAUUCAAGUCUCAUAAUAUCAAUUAAUAAGUCAACAUAAAAGAAUUACUAAAACAAAUUGAAAGAUAAACAAUUUCAUCACUAAAGAGUAAUAAAUGCUAACUAACUACAUAUAUGCAUUUAGACUAAAUGAAUACAAUAUUAAGAUUAAGAGUCACAUUGUCUUAAAACAUCCAAUGUAUUCUAUUACUUUAUAUUAUAAACUAAUCUUAUCAUUCUGAAAAUGAUUUAGCCAUACUAACAUCUAUACAUAUAUAUAAUACAUUCAUUACAUACUACACAUCUUCUAUUUGAUUUUUACAAUACGAAGGUAAUACAAUCAUUACAUACUACACAUCUUCUAUCUGAUUUUGACAACACAAGGGUUUUCAAAGAAAAUAAAGACAUAAAUAUUACAUUCCAAAAUGAUAAUUCAUAAACAGAAAAACCACAUUAAUUAAUUUACCCAAUAUCUUAGUCAUAUAUUAAUUAUUUUACCCUUAACCUCUGAAAUUUUAUACUUCUAACUUCAUUCAAUUAAUUUACAUAAUUUUUUCAAAACUUAAAUAUUCAGCUAACUCAUCUCGAUUGCCAAUAAUUCUAACACUUUCAUAUAAUUACCCACAAAUUUCGUUAUCCUUCCUCAGUUACUAAUAAAUCCGAUAAUUCCAUCUUAACGGCUCUCUCUUGAACGGCUUUCAUGCUUUGACAAAUCCACUUGUAUGCAAUUGCUCAAUGUAUUUCAACCUUGUCUAAGAAGUUAUACUAAAACACGUAAGUUAUCAUUCUUUUAAUGAAAGUUUUUUCAAACUUGUAUACAUCACCACUUUUCCGUAUUGAACUUUUUUUAUUACAAAUAAUAGAGAUUGUAUGGGAACUUGAAGAAUGGGAUAUGGUAUCAAUCUAAUCAAUGAUCAUUUAUUCAUUAAAUCGAAAUUGAAAACCAAGUUCUGCUCAUCACAUGCUACCAGUUGUUGACGUCAUUUUCUGCCACGCAUUGUCGCAGCUGAGCAACUCGUCACAACUAUCCCAAUAGCUUCUCCAUGUAACCAAAAACCCCACCGUGAACACCAGGUCUCUUCAGAAUGUUUAGAAACGGUAGAGAGAGCUGAAAGAGAGAAGAAUAAAAGAGAAGAGGACUGACCUUUGAUCGAGCAGAUCUCUACCUUUAGACAUCCGUUUGUCUCACCGUCAGUCUAAGAGCAAAGAGAAGACUUGUUUCAGAUCCGACAGCACACGCUCUUCCACCGGUAGUGGCGCGUGAAUCCACGUGCCGGAAGUGGUGGUGUCAUGUGGUACACACGCUGCCACUUAUUCUAGUAAUCUUCUAGUGUCUAUUGCAAUAUACCUUGACAUGUUAAACACAAAGAAAUGUCGAUUCAUAACCUUAAAAUAUUUUUUUGGACAAAUUGCUAUAAUGUUGUGAAAUUUUGGGAAAAAAUGCUUAUUUUGUGUUUUUUUUUCGGAUUGUUGGACACUUUUAAUUUGGAUUGAUGUGUGUUAUUGUUUUGAAAUAAUUUGAAUAUUUGUAGUGAAUUAUAAGUUUAUUUUUAGAUUGUUAUUGUUUUUUGGACAUUAAAUAUAUAUUGAUGCAUGAAUUAUGUUUGGGUUUAUGUUGAUUUGUUUGGAUUAAUAUGCAAUUUGAACAAAGUUUGUGAAAUUAAUAAGAUUCAUGUAGAUUUUUGUUGUUGCUCGACUUCAAGUUAAUGAAUGAUAUUUUGUUUUGAAUUAAUAUUAUGGUAAAAAUAGCCAUGAUAAAAAUAAUUUAUUUGUGUUUAAUUAAACAAUGUCUUCGUCCAUUUUCCAAAUCCUUGGAAGAUCAUCUUGUAAUUAAUUUUGAGUUCGCCAUAUUUUCCUACCAUUUUAAUAUUUGGAAUUGUGACCUACAUGCGAGGCGUUUUGAGUGUUUCAAACGAAUCGUUUUACCUUUUACAAAAACAAAAAAAAAAUCUCUUCUUUCAAAAAUACAAUCUUAUUUUAAAUAGCAUAUAGCCAAAUAAAUAAUCAUAUCUAGCUUAAAAAAUAGAAUACAUGGUGUGUUUUAGUAUUUUUAUACAGAAUUCAAAAAAAAAUAUUUGCAUUCAUUUUGGAUUUAAUAACUGGUAUAUUGAAUCCAUGAAAACUAUGUCAAUAUUUCAAUAAUCCAUAAAAAAUUUUAAUUCAUGAGAAUUGAUGGUCAAUAUUCUGGUAUAAAUGUUGGACCUACAAAUAGGCUGGUAUUUAAAUAUCAAGAGUUGACCAGAAAAUUCUUAUAAAUAUUUUAAAUAUUCACCAAUUUUAAUUGGAAGUAUUUUUCAUCACAAUACACGAGUUGUGAAAAAACCCUUCUACCUUCGAAGAUAGGUGAACCUUGUUAGGACACCUAUAUGGAUAUUUUUCAUAAGAAUUCAUUUGGGCAUAUGAGCCCAUAAUAAAUUAAAAAAAAACUGAUUUAUUUACAUGAAUAAAUCUUCAUCUUAAGCCCUAGACAUACCACUAUUUAGGAACCUAUCAAAGCCUUUAAACCACAUUCAAACCACACAAUGCAGCUUACCUCAGGUUUCGAUUCCUGCAAUCUAUUUAAGCACAAGGCAAUAGCAAAGCAAAUAUGCUAUUUAUUGUAAACCCCGGGAAAAAAUAAUAAAUAAAUAAAAGUGAAGAAAUUCAUGUAUAUGAUUAAAUAAAAACAGAAAUUCAGAAAUUUUUUAAUAUAAAUUUCCGGGCGAAAUAAUUCAAGACAUUAUAAUAAACCCGGUACUGUUGAGGGUUAGAUUUAAUUGAAGAGAAUAAUGCACUUAAAGGCAAAAGGGGGUCUAAAUAUAAAUAAGGGAAAAUAUAGAGUAUAAAUACUCUCUCCUCAACAAAAAAAUCUGUAAGAACCAUAAGGAGAGAAAAUAGGAGUUUUAUACCCAUUCUCGAGAAAUCAAGAGAGAAACACUAAAAUUUUAAGAACCCAUCCAAGAUUAAGAGCUUAAAGAUGGGAUAAACACUUGAGAGCAAGGAAUUACCAAGAAAUUGAACAAGAAGAAAAGACAGGAGGGGAAUUGAACAAGAAGAAAAGAAAAGAGGGAGUUCAGAAUCUUCAACUGGUUGAAGAUCAAAAUCUUAAUUUGUACCGGGUAAGGUAUUCUAAACAUGAUCUUAAAAAAAAAUUUAUUUUUAAAUUCGAUAAAGAAUUGAUGCCUUGAUAUUGAAUCAUAGGUUAGGGUUCUUAGACAUAAAUUGGGGAAAAAGUACUUAUUAUUGAUAUUAAGUUAAUUCAUGUGUGUGGUAUGUAACUUAUUAAAGUAUUGUGUGAAGGGAAGGGGGAGACGAGUCUAGACAGACUGGUCUCCUAACUUUCGAUGAGAUGUCGGGUAGGAGGAUGAGGGGAUUAGGAUCGGGUUCUUCAUAGAAAUUGUAGAUUUGAAUGUUAGCUAACCAAGGAAACUGGUCUUGCUCAAUUUGGAAAUGUAGAACUCCAGUUAUGGGUUACCAACUGAGACUGCGUCGUGACUGAUUUUGUAGGGCAGUAGGACUAAUUAGUAAAUGCACAAUUUUGACUAUCUUGGAGGCAAAACUGGGUUCUCCUCCCUCAGAGAACUAGUAGCCUCGUGUCUUAGCUUUCCAACGAGAUCAAUCUCAGUUAAAAUGGAGUUUUAGAACUUUAGAUAUAGUUAAAAAUCUGAUGAGUGUUCAGACAAUAACAGUUGGAAAUUGGAUAGUAACAGUUCAAAGUUACACAGUAAUAGUUGGAAAUUGGACAGUAACAGUUCAAAGUCAGACAAUAACGGUUGGAAAAGUCAGACAGUAACAGUUGGAAAAGUCAAAUAGUAACAGUUCAAAGUCAGACAGUAACGGUUGGAAAAGUCAAACAGUAACAGUUCAAAGUCAAACAGUAACAGUUCAAAGUCAGACAGUAACAGUUGAAAAUUGGACAGUAACAGUUCAAAAUUCGACAGUAACAGUUGGAAAUUGGACAGUAAACAGUUCAAAGUUAGACAGUAACAAUAGACUUUCAUGUGAAUACUAUAAAUAAGAAUAUAAAUGAAUUGAGUCAUACGAACACUUGUGUAUUGAGAUAUUAACUCUGAAAAUAUACAUGAUAUAUGUAUGUAUGUUAUUAUGAGGAAAUGAACAUGCAUAGAAAGUAACAUAUGAGUAAUGGAUGAAUAUAAAUUUUCUAUAAUAUCGGCUUGAAAGAAUCAUAACAAAAAAAAAAACUUCCUUGUGAUUCAGGAGGAGCAACCAGGAUCGGAUCUUCUGUUAGGGGAGGUCGCGAGACAGGCGAAGCAGGUGCGUGAUUUUCCCUCCUAUUUGCACUUAUACAAUUUAGAAUCCUUCUGGUGAAUGCAAUUAUAAUAAAUAUCGUGUUCAAUGUAAAUAAAGCCUAGUGUAUUUACAAGAUUAGCUUCGGCUAAUGGCAUCCAUGAUAGGAUUGCCGGGAAAUGAUUUACACGAUUAGCUUCGGCUAAUGGCAUCCGUGAUGGGAUUGCCGGGAUAUGAUUUACACGAUUAGCUUCGGCUAAUGGCAUCCGUGAUGGGAUUGCCGGGAUAUGAUUUACACGAUUAGCUUGCAAGGUCACCCAGUUUAUGCAAGUAAAUAAGAUUAUUCAAUUAAGAAUAUACAAAUGGGUGUUAAUUGGGUUUAAAAGAUUUACAAGCAAAAUAUAAGUUCUUUGUUAGAAUUCUCAUGGAUUCGAUAGAAAGUUAAUACUUCAUUCGUAUUCAUUACAUGAGCAUACAUAUAUUCUUUAUCAACAUAAUGGUAUGUUUAUUUAUGUAACAGGUCCAUCAAACAUCCAGGAAGAUCAUUAGUUUAGGACUCUACUUUGCGAAACUUAUGUAAAUAUUUAACUUAAAACAAAAGAGAAUUAACGUGUUUAUGUAGUAUACUUUUGUGCAAACCUUGAUGUAUUUAUAAAGGUUCAGCUUAGCAUGUAGUAUUUUAGUUAUCUUGUAAUUAACCCUUUUGAAAUAUUUAAGAACACUUCUUAUAUUGUAAAUACUUUCUUUGCAUGUUAGUAUUCCUUUUCCUUUAAAUUUUAUGAUAUAAUGUGUUGGACUAUGUUUAUAUUGAACUUACUCGUAGGAUAUAUAUAUAUAUUGUGUGGAUUGUAUGAGGUUUGAUAUAAGGUCCGGAAUUAAGGGACCUUGUGAUGAUGGGUCGUUUGAGUAAACUGAUAGUAGUCGAUAACUUGGGAUGUCCUAAAUGCAAACGAAACUCUGCCGAAUUUUUGGAAAAAAAAAAUUUACCCUCAAAUAAAGAGGAUAUGUUGGAAUCUUUUAACAUUGAUUGUGUCAGGACUAUUACAGUUGGUAUCAGAGGCCUGGUAUAGGUUCUGGGAAGAAAUCAAAAAAGGUUGUUGAUGUUCAUUAAUUUAUUGCAGGAUGGUACGUACCCGUCAAGAGAUUAGAACAGAUCUAUCCUCUGCAGGGAGGGGGAAUAGAAAUAUAGACUUUUCCGAGGGGCAAGAAGAGAGCCCUUUGGAAGAUACUGCUUCACAUGCACCGGUAGUAUCGACUCAAGCAAGGCAUGAAGAAUCGUUGGGGCCUCAAAUUAGAGAGGCACCAAGGCAAACUGGGGAUGUUCGGCCGACCACGUCAGCCCCGCGGGAAAGAGUAGAGGAGGCCCCUCAGACUACACCUGCAGGGCCAUCUGUUUCUUAUGUUGAUCCGAUGCUCUUGGCCCAGGUAGUCAAAACAGUAAUGGAAGGUAUGGCUAAUGCUGCCACUUCUAUGCCAGCACCCCCACCUGCACCCAUCAUACCAACCGUUUCAGAAGCAGCUACAGCUACUAAUGACGUGGUACAACUAGUUCGUUUGGUGAAAAGUAUGAGAGAAAUGGGUUGUGAACCCUACUUAGGUGAACAAAAUGCUAAAGUGGCGGGAAGGUGAAUUAGAAAGGUGGAGAAAACCAUGAUUCAAAUUAAGAUACCACAUGAUCUGCGGGUAGAUUGUGUUACUCAAUUACUAUCAGACAGUGCUAUGACUUGGUAGGAGACAGUUCAGUUGAGGAGGGCUACAGAAACCCUAUCCUGGGAUGACUUCAAGAUAGAGUUUGAGAAUCAAUAUUACUCCAAAUAUCAUCGGAAGAUGAAGGAACAAGAAUUCCUAGCUUUGAGACAGGAGGGAAUGUCAGUACUUGAGUAUGAGAGACGAUUUCAUGAUCUCUCACUAUUCGCACCACAUUAUGUCCCAUCAGAACAACACAUGAUAGAAAAGUUAAGGGAUGGCUUCAGACAAGAAUUGAAGCAGGGGUUGAUUGCUUUGCAAUUCAAGACAGUAAGGGAACUGAUUGAAGCAGCACAGGCCUUGGAGGCUUGUAUGGAAGAAGGCCAAUAGAGUCAUGGGGGUGCAGGAAAACGAAAGGAUAUGGAAUUUUUAGGCAGGCCACCACUUCCAAAGAAAGGUAGAGGCGAACAGUUCCUUCAAUUCAAAAAGAAAGGGGGGACGUCAACUAGCUUCCGACAGGAUAUCGGUGGGAGGUCGGGAAGUGGUCAGACCCGCUCCAGGGCUAUAGCUGCAAGGGGGCAUAAUGAUCAGAAGGAAAUUGGCUACCCUCGAUGUGCUAAGUGUGAACAAAGACACCCCAGGAGUUGUAUGGUUUCUCCAGGACGAUGCUAUAUAUGUCGAGGAGAAGGUCAUAAGUGGAAAACCUGUCAGUACUUAGGAAGAGGAUGUCAUCACUGUGGUGAGAAGGGUCACUUUAAAAGGGAAUGCCCCCAGUUAAACAGUGAACAGCCUCAGAGACAUAGGCAGCAAAGUCAGAGUCAUCAGCAGUCUAUCACAGUAAACAGACCGGGAAGGUCAACUCAGUCAGGAGCUAACUCAAAUAGGGGACGACCCAGAGUGCAAAAUGAAAGGGGUCAAGGAAGGGUUUUCCAUAUAACCCAGGAGGAUGUCAGAGCAGCAUCAGAUGUGGUGGCAGGUAUGCUGCAAAUGAAUGACUAUCAAAUGCAUGUUUUGUUUGAUUCUGGUGCCACUCACUCCUUUAUAGCAAAUAAAAAUGUAACCAAAUUGAGUAAGGAAACAAAAAGGGUAGAAAAAGGAUUUAUUAUUGGGACACCUUUGGGUGAAACUGUGGAAACAAAUGUUGUAUUGAAAGGGGUGGGAAUUAACAUUAAUGGGUGUGAACUAAAAGCAGAUUUAAUACCCCUAGAAUUAAGUGAUUUUGAAAUAAUUCUAGGUAUGAAUUGGUUGGGAAAAAAUAAGGCUCGUCUAGACUGCUUUACAAAAACAGUAACCUUCCAGGGGGCUAAGGGUGAAAUAAUGGUCUUUAAAGGGGAGAGAACUUCCAACUUUCCAAAUAUGAUCUCGGGCAUGGUUGCGAGAAAACUACUAAAGAAAGGUUGUACAACAUACCUUGCCUAUGUGAUAAAUUUAGAAAAGGGUAAAAUAGGACUGUCCGACAUUCCAAUUGUGAGGGAAUUUCCGGAUGUAUUUCUGGAAGAAUUGCCAGGACUACCCCCAGAAAGAGAAGUUGAAGUCACUCUAGAUAUAUUGCCUGGGGUGUCUCCUAUAGCCCAACCACCGUAUAGCAUGGCCCUAAAAGAAUUGGAUGAGUUGAAAAUUCAAUUGCAGGAGCUUUUAGACAAAGGGUUCAUACGACCAAGCAACUCACCUUGGGGGGCACCUGUAUUAUUUGUGAAGAAGAAGGAUGGAACGUUGAGGCUUUGCAUAGAUUACCGUCAACUGAAUAAAGUGACGGUAAAGAACAGAUAUCCACUUCCAUGAAUAGAUGAUUUGUUCGAUCAGUUGAAGGGUGCCAAAGUAUUCUCAAAGAUUGAUUUAAGAUCAGGAUACUACCAAAUGCGAAUCAAGGGGCAAGAUGUGCCGAAAACUGCCUUCAGAACUUGCUACGGACACUUUGAGUUCUUAGUGCUACCCUUUGGAUUAACUAAUGCUCCAACACUUUUUAUGGAUUUAAUGAACCGAGUAUUCCAACCAUACCUUGAUAAGUUUGUUGUCGUAUUCAUCGAUGACAUCUUGGUUUAUUCCAAAUCCUAUGAGGAGCAUGAACAACACCUGAGACAGACACUACAGACUCUGAGUGUAACAGCACGGCUUCUACAAGCCCAAAACAAUAGUAAUUUUUUUUUUUUGUACUUGACAUACAUCGUGUCGGUAAUCGGCGAACAUGUUCCCUUCACAUCAUCAAUAUAUAAUCCAUACAUCAACAACAAUCAACAUUUCAUUUAAAAGUGAAUCUUACAUAAACUUAUAAUAUUAUGUUUGCAUGAUUAGAAGUUCGCAUUUAAAAUAUACAUGCAUAGUCAUGAGUUUGUAUUCUAUCUUACAAAUAGUCAUCACGAAUUUAAUCUAAAAGGAUCUAAUAAUAGUUAUACAUUCAGUACAUUGAUUCAUAUAAAAUACAUCAUGAUUUAGAAUGCAACUACAUGAUUCCUUGCAAAAGUAGGUUCCCAUGUAUCGGGUUUCCUAGGCACCUUGUUGGUAUGGCGUCCCUACUGCAGUACAAAACAUUUACAAGAAUGCAAUUACUUAAUAAUAAUAAUAAUAAUAAUAAUAAUAACAACAAUAAGAAAAUGGUCUGGCAGUUUAACGAAGCAUUAACAUUAUCUCAUGUUUGAAGCGUGACAUUUGUAGUUCCUUCAUGUUCUUGGUAUACAUAACUUGCAGUAUAUAUAUAUAUACACCAAUUCUUGCAAUUAACUAUAAUCUUAAAUCCGGCCAUUCUUUUAAGACAUCAUUUGUCGAGGUUAACGAUUCACUCACCCCGGCCAUCCCCUUCGAAUUCCAUCAGCCAAUACUAAUCAACCGUUUGUCCUGGUCAUCCCUUUGGAUGCCAUUAGUCGAAGCUAAUCGUUCAUUUAUUCCGGUCAUCCAUUCGGAUGCUAUUAGCCGAAGCUAAUCAAUCGUUUGUCUCGGUCAUCCCUUCAGAUGCCAUUAACCAAAGCUAAUAAUUCAUUUGUCCUGGUCAUCCAUUCGGAUGCCAUUAGUCGAAGCUAAUCAAUCGUUUGUCCCGGUCAUCCCUUUGGAUGCCAUUAGCCGAAGCUAAUCAAUCAUUUGUCCCGGUCAUCCAUUCGGAUCCCAUUAGCCGAAGCUAAUCAUUCGUUUGUCCCGGUCAUCCCUUCGGAUGCCAUUAGCCGAAGCUAAUCAAUCAUUUGUCCCGGUCAUCCAUUCGGAUCCCAUUAGCCGAAGCUAAUCAUUCGUUUGUCCCGGUCAUCCCUUCGGAUGCCAUUAGCCGAAGCUAAUCAAUCGUUUGUCUCGGUCAUCCCUUCGGAUGCCAUUAGCCGAAGUUAAUCAUUUUUUUGUCCCGGUCAUCCAUUCAGAUGCCACUAACCGAAGCUAAUCAAUCGUUUGUCCCGGUCAUCCCUUCAGAUGCCAUUAGCCGAAGCUAAUCAUUCAUUUGUCCCGGUCAUUCAUUCGUAUGCCAUUAGCCGAAGCUAAUCAAUCAUUUGUCAACACUUAAGCAUUUGGCAAUCUGAUAUCUGAACUAACACAAUACGGCAACGUUCAUGAUAAGGUAUUUCAAUGUUCAAGGUCAUCUCUUCAGAUGCCUUUAGCUGAAGCUAAUCGUUCAUUUAUUAACAUUUAAGCAUUUGACAGUCUGGUAUCUGAAUUAACACAAUACAAUAAUAUUCAUGAUAAAGUAUUUUCAUUAUUCAACAUUAUUUAAAAGGAAGGUGAAAGUCACCUACCUGCAGUAGAAGCUCUACUUGUGCUCCCCUGUUGCUACUGUUGCACCACGCCAGUGGUCCCUCCUGCAGUCACAGACUCAUCUCAUAAAUUUUCCUCAUUCAAGGAUAUGUUUUAUAAUAAUCAUAUCAAUAGCUAAUAAAUCUUUCUUUCAAUCAUUUCUUUCUUUAUAUCUUACGUUUUUCUCAUUACACCCAUUAAUGUUGUCAUUCUUUAUCCAACCAUAGUUAUCAUUCCUUCAGGCCGAUAUUAUAGAGAAUUCAUAUUCAUCAAUUACUCAUAUGUUACUUUCUUAUGCAUGUUCAUUUCCUCAUAAUAACAUACAUACAUAUAUCAUGUAUAUUUUCAGAGUUAGUAUCUCAAUGUGCAAGUGUUUGUAUGACUCAAUUCCUUUAUAUAGUAUUCACGUGAAAGUCUACUGUUACUGUCUAACUUUGAACUGUUACUGUCCACUUUCCAACUGUUACUGUCUAACUUUGAGAUGUUACUGUUUGAUUUUGAGCUGUUACUGUUUGACUUUGAACUGUUACUGUCUGACUUUUCCAACCGUUACUGUCUGACUUUGAACUGUUACUGUUUGACUUUUUCAACCGUUACUGUUUGACUUUGAACUGUUACUGUUUGACUUUUCCAACUGUUACUGUUUGACUUUGAACUGUUACUGUUUGACUUUUCCAACCGUUACUGUUUGACUUUGAACUGUUACUGUUUGACUUUUCCAACCGUUACUGUUUCACUUUGAACUGUUACUGUCUAGACAUUUGAACUGUCAUUGUCUACACUUUGAACUGUUAUUAUCUAGACAUUUGAACUGUUACUGUCUACACUUUGAACUGUUACUGUCUAGACAUUUGAACUGUUAUUGUUUACACAUUGAACUGUUACUGUCCAACUGUUACUAUCUAGACAUUGAACUGUUACUGUCGGAACACUCAUCAGAUUUUUAACUAUAUCUAGACUUAUAGAACUCUGUUUCAAGCGAGAUUAGUCUCGUUGGAAAGCUAAUACACGAGGCUACAAGUUCUUUGAAGGAAGGAGAACCCAGUUCUGCCUUUGAGAUAGCCAAAAUUGCUCAUCAACAAACACUACCCUACAGGUUCUGUCAAGACCCAAUCUCGGUUGAUGACCCAUAGCUGGGGUUCUACAGCACCAUAUUGAGCAAGACCAAUUUAUUAGUUAGCUAACAUCCAAAACUACAAUUACUAUGAGAAACUUGAUCUUAAUUCUCUCAUCCUUCUACUCGAAUUCUCUCCAAAUGUUAGGAGACGAACCUUUCCAUUUACACACAACAUCCACAAUUUAACUCUUUUUCUAUCAUCUCAACCCCUGGUCAUAUCACAUAUCGUUUAAGACUGUAAAAAAAAGAAUAUCUUUAUAAGAGCCAAUUUAUCUUAUUUAUUUCAAUCUUCCCUCUUAACGUCAAAAUAAAACAUUCUUGUCGAUUUUACAAACUUUCCGAACAAUAUUCUUCUAAACACAAUCCUUGACACAGUUCCUAUAAACCAUAAAUAACAAACGAAUAAUAUUCCAAACAAUCUAUACUGUCAAGUUAUAAUGCAUUAUUAUGAGUAUAACAUAUCCAAAUAUUAACUUCAUCAAAUGGUGAAAUUUCCAGAAAUAUGGGUUUAACCGAACUGACCUCAAACUUGCAGACCUACUGUGCGAGAUAUACAACUUUUAUACCAAAUGUUUGUUUCAGAUCUCCACCAUUCAGAAUCUAGACAAAAUUAGGAAGAACAACAUAUCCAAGUUAUAGCCUAAUCCAACGGUAGCUGAAGGAGAAAACAGACAGCAAAGAAGACUGUCCAGAAGUGUAUUUUCCCAAAUAUUUUCCUCCCUCGAUAUCUCUCAAACGGGGACUGAUAUAUAAAAUCCCUACGGUGACAAUGUACACGACAUGGAUGAGAACAACAUACCCGAAUAUCGUGCUGAUCCAACGGUAGAAGGUGGAGUUAUAGCUGUCGGUUGAUUUACCAUCAAUAUAUCUUCUCUCCAGCCUCUCUCUAAACUCUCUCCUACUCUUGCCAGUCACUCCAAGAGAGAAAAUAGAAUGAUAUUUAUAGUUCUAACAUCUUGUUAAUUGCACAUUUAUCCCCACCUCUUUUUAUCAUUUAUACAUAAACUCCCAACCUUCUGUUAUUUGAAUAUUGACCUCUCUUGAUCUUACGUAUUCAUUUUGUCCUCACAAAUGUUUUUCUUUUCAAUGAUUUAGUACUAUAUUCACUUUUCAUGUCAUUAAUUUCACUAUUUUUAUCUUGAUUAGGUUUCUUUAAUUUAAUUUAACCCAUUUUACUAUUGGUUAAAUUUCUCAUCUUUUAAAUACCCAGAAAAAUUAUAACCGAGGGUUUACACUGAGGAGCCGCCAGUUGUAUGCCAAGUUGGAUAAAUGUGACUUCUGGUUAAAAGAAGUUACCUUUUUGGGGCAUGUAGUGUCUUCAAAAGGCAUUUUUGUGGACCUUUAGAAGGUGGAAGCAGUUUUGAGAUGGGAAAGGCCUACUACGGUAACUGAAAUACGUAGUUUUCUCGGAUUGGCAGGGUAUUAUAGAAGAUUUAUCGAAGGGUUUUCAACGAUAGCAACUCCAUUAACACGACUCACCAGGAAGAACAUAAGAUGGGAGUGGUCAAAGGAGUGCGAUGAGAGCUUUCAAGAAUUGAAGAGAAGGCUUACUACUGCCCCCGUACUAAUCCUUCCAUCCAGAAUAGAAGGCUUUGUAGUCUACAGUGAUGCCUCAAGAAAAGGACUGGGUUGUGUUCUAAUGCAGCAUGGAAAAGUAGUUGCCUAUGCAUCGAGACAACUGAAGACUCAUGAAGUCAACUAUCCAGUUCACGACUUAGAAUUGGCAGCAGUAGUUUUUGCUUUACGAGUAUAGAGGCACUACCUAUACGGAUCCCAGGUCCAAAUUUUCACGGAUCAUAAGAGCCUUAAAUAUCUAAUGUCGCAAAAGGAGUUGAAUAUGCGACAACGGAGAUGGGUAGAAUUAAUUAAAGACUACGACUGUAUUAUAGAUUAUCAUCCAGGAAAAGCGAAUGUCGUCACGGAUGCUCUCAGCCGUAAAGACAAAGUGAUUAGGAGUGGACCAACGACUUGGAAUGAGGAAACCAUGAUUGAGCUAAAGAGAUUGGGGGCAAUAUUAGGUGUGAGUCUGGAAGGAUCCUUAAUGGCUCAACUAAGGGUGAAGUCAGGAUAUCGAGAGCAAAUAUUAGAGGCAUAGCAACAUGAUGAUGAGGUGUUAAAAGUGAGAAUCAAACUGGAAUCGGGGGGUGAAACUCUUUUUCCAAUGGGUGAUGAUGGAAUAGUGAUGUUGGGGCGACGUAUGUAUGUGCCCAAAAAGACCGGAAUCACAUUGGUGAAAAACAAAAAUGAUGAGCUCAUUCCUACUCGCAUCUCGAGUGGAUGGAGAAUGUAUGUUGAUUACAGAAAGCUCAAUCUUUCUACACGCAAAGAUCAUUUCCCAUUACCAUUCAUGGAUCAAAUGCUUGAACGCCUAGCAGGUAAGUCUUUUUAUUGCUAUUAAUCCUGAGGAUCAAGAAAAGACUACAUUUACAUGUCCAUUUGGUACAUAUGCAUAUAGGAGAAUGCCUUUCGGUCUCUGUAAUGCUCCUGCAACUUUUCAAAGAUGCAUGAUGAGUAUUUUUUCUGACUAUGUUGAAAGAAUAAUCGAGGUUUUUAUGGAUGAUUUCAUGGUGUAUGGUGAUUCUUUUGAUAAAUGUCUAGAAAAUUUAUCUUUAAUCUUGAAAAGGUGCAUUGAAACUAACCUUGUCUUGAACUAUGAAAAGUGUUAUUUUAUGGUAGAACAAGGAAUAGUUCUUGGGCAUGUUGUGUCUUCACGUGGAUUAGAGGUUGAUAAAGCUAAGAUAGAUGUUAUUUCAUCAUUGCCUUACCCCUCAUGCGUGAGGGAAGUUCGUUCUUUUCUAGGCCAUGCAGGUUUCUAUCGACGCUUUAUCAAAGAUUUCUCGAAGAUUACAGCACCCUUGUGCAAACUAUUAGCCAAAGAAGUGGAUUUUGUGUUUGAUCAAGCAUGUAAAGAUGCCCAUGAUGAGCUUAAGAGACGUGUCACAUCUGCCCCUAUCAUCCAACCACCAAAUUGGGAUGAACCUUUUGAGAUAAUGUGUGAUGCGAGUGACUAUGCGGUAGGAGCUGUGCUUGGGCAAAGAAUUAGGAAGAAUUUGCAUGUUAUCGCCUAUGCUUCUCGCAUGUUGGAUGGAGCACAAUGCAAUUACCAUACAACUGAAAAGGAACUUUUUGCAGUGGUGUUUGCUCUUGAAAAAUUUAGGUCAUAUCUACUUGGUACAAAAGUCAUUGUUUUUACUGACCAUGCAGCUCUCAGGUAUCUUUUGAAGAAGAAGGAGUCCAAACCAAGACUGAUUAGGUGAAUCUUGCUUUUACAAGAAUUCGAUCUUGAGAUCAAAGACAAAAAAGGUGUCGAAAACCAUGUGGCUGAUCACUUGAGCCGACUAAGGACCGAGGAUAUACAGAUCGAAACAAUAAGAGAGACAUUCCCUGAUGAGCAGUUGUAUAUGUUGCAUUCCUCUACAAGACCAUGGUAUGCUGAUUUGGUAAACUAUUUAGUCACCAAAGAAUUCCCUCCAGGUUUGUCUAAACCCCAAAAAGAUAAGUUACGAGCUGAUGCUAAAUAUUAUUUUUGGGACGAUCCUUACCUUUUGAAAUUUUGUGCGGAUCAAGUAGUUAGGAGGUGUGUACCACAAGAUGAAUUUCAUUCCAUUCUCACUUUUUGUCAUUCUCAUUCUUGUGGUGGGCAUUUUGGAGCAAAAAGAACAGCCCACAAGGUACUUGAAAGUGGUUUCUAUUGGCCUUCUAUUUUUAAAGAUGCAUAUCACUUCUGCAAAUCAUGUGAAAAAUGCCAAAGAACAGGUAAUAUCACUCAUAAGAAUCAAAUGCCUUUAACGAAUAUUCUUGUAAGUGAAAUUUUUGAUGUUUGGGGUAUUGACUUUAUGGGUCCAUUUCCUUCUUCAUUUGGCAAUCUUUAUAUUCUUCUUGCUGUUGAUUAUGUGUCCAAAUAGAUUGAGGCGAAAGCCACACGAACUAACGAUGCUAAGGUUGUUUUAGAUUUUGUCAGGACUCACAUAUUUGACAGGUUUGGAAUCCCUAAAGCUAUCAUUAGUGAUCGUGGCACUCAUUUCUGUAAUCGUUCCAUGGAAGCAUUGCUACACAAAUAUCAUGUGACUCAUCGAACUUCCACAGCAUAUCAUCCUCAAACGAAUGGCCAAGCUGAAAUUUCAAAUCGAGAAAUCAAGUCCAUUUUGGAGAAAACAGUGCAACCUAACCGGCGAGAUUGGAGUCUAUGUCUUGGAGAUGCACUUUGGGCUUAUCGGACUGCUUAUAAAUCACCUAUAGAAAUGUCACCUUAUAGAAUGAUUUAUGGGAAAGCAUGUCAUCUACCGGUGGAGCUUGAACACAAAACGUUUUGGGCCAUUAAACAAUGUAACAUGGAUUAUGAUGCUGCUGGGAUUGCAAGAAAACUACAACUGCAAGAGUUGGAAGAAAUUCGAAAUGAUGCUUACCAGAAUGCAAGGAUUUACAAAGAAAAGACUAAGAAUCUUCAUGACCGAAUGCUUACAAGAAAGGAGUUUCAUGUUGGAGACAAAGUCCUUCUUUAUCAUUCGCGUUUGAAACUUUUUCCUGGAAAAUUGCGCUCUCGUUUGAUUGGACCCUUUGUUGUUUCUAAUGUUUUUCCUUAUGGUGCAGUUGAAAUUACAAAUUUAGAAACCAACAAAGUACUCAAGGUCAAUGGGCAUCGUUUAAAACCUUUUUAUGAAGGUUGGACGGCAGAACUCACCGCUUCUGUAGAGUUAGCUGAACCAAUCUAUGAAGAAUGAACAUGCCACAUGUCAAGCCAAUGACAUAAAACAAAAGCGCUUACUGGGAGGCAACCCAGCACAAAAAAAAAUCAGAUUUGCUUUCUUUUUCCUUAUCUUUUAUUUUUUCGCAUUUUAAUUUAUUUUCUGUCAUUCUCUUCUGUUCCUUUGCUUUUAUUUCAACAUUGAGGACAAUGUUGUGUUUUAAGUGUGGGGGUAUUGGGAGAAUGUUGGUUUUCUAAUUUUGGUUUUCUUUGUUAUUUUUCAAAAAAAAUAAUUAUGUUUGAUCUUUUGAACUCCCAUUGGUUUUUGAGAAUAUGAGUAUUAUGUAUGAGAAUUAGUUGAGAUAGAUGAAGAUAUAAAUCAAAUGAAGGAGUAUGCAUGUAAAUUUUAAGGUUUAAUUGGUUUAGGGAUUGACUUUGAGAAUAUGCCAUGUUGACUUUAUAGUGUUAUACCAAUGCAAGCUUUUGAGCCUUCAACAUUAUAUUCUUUGAUUGUGCAUUCUUUCAAUGAUAUGUAUCUCUAGAACUUGCUUCAUAUCUUGUUGAGAUUACAUUCGCAUUACAUAUAUACAUGAAGAUGAUAAAGGCAUUAGAAAUUUUAACCACUUGAGCCAAAAAGCCAACCUAAAACAUAUUAUCCUUAGUGAACCCCUUUUGAGCUUGUUUAUCUUUUCUUUGCUUUAUCCAUGUAUAAGCCUUAACUUUUUAUAUGUUUUCCUUUUCCCUUGGCCAAGGAUUAGUAGAGCAUAUACUUAUGAUAUCUCAUGGAAUUAUGGUUGGAAAUUAUGUGAAAAGAAAGAAGAAGUGAUGCUUGAUGAAAAGAUGGGCAAAGUUGCCAAAGGUAAAAAAAAAAAAAAAAAAAAAAAGAACAAAGAAAAAGAAAAAAGUGUUCCUUUAUGUUCUUAAGAUUUUAUGUUGAAAAAGCUUGAAAUCAAAAGAAGAUAAACAUUGGUGAUUAAAGAUGGAAAAUUUAUGUGCUUUGAUGAAAUAUCUUGUUUGAAAUAUCAUUUUUUAGAAUGCUCUACUUUCUUUGGUUUGAACCUUUUCUUUUACUCUCUUUUACCUCACCUAAACCUUAGCCUUAAACACGAUAUUGCAUGUUUUAAAAUGUAUGUUGAUUCAUGCAUUGUUUGUAAUAUGUUAGUAAUGGAGAUGAGAUUGAAAAGCAAGCUUAUGGUAGAACAUAUUCAUUGAUUGAAUUUGAGAGAUUUAAACAUAUAAGCCUUAAACACGUGAGUGUUGGAGCGUAUAUCAAUGAGAGGGCCUAUCACUUUGGCAUGGCAUAGAUUUCAUUUAAAUCCCGACGAUAAAUUGAGUUUUGAAGUUUGCAUGUAAAUGAAUUCAUGAGAAUUAUACUAUUUAUCAUUCUUGAUUGUAUUCUUGUUUAUAAUGCAUAUAUUCUUGGACAUUGAUGGGAGAUUAAGAGAUUGAUCAUAGUUAUUUUCAAUUUAAUUUUAUUUAUCCUUUCUCGAGGACGAGCAAGAGCUAAGUGUGGGGGUAUUUGAUGUAACUAUAUUAUUCGAUAGUUUCACCCACAUCUACCUAAUGUUUUGUCCAUGUUUUAUAUAUAAAAUGCCUUGAUAUUCUUUGUUUUAUGUUUUGAAGGCACUUUUGGAUGAAAGAUGAAAAAGGGAGUAAAUUGGAGGUAAUUGGCAGAUUUGAUGUUCAGUCAAUGUUUUGUGCAGAGCGUGAGUUCUAGAGAUCGAAAUGAAGUGAUUCCAGUGGCACUAAAAAGCUAACAUUCAUACCUUUCUGGAAAUGUAAUGCAAGAAAAAUAAAAAGAGAAAGAUCAUGGAAAUCACAUCCUGCAAAGUCAAAUCUCGCAUUCUGCCAGUGUUGACCUUUGGCCAUUCAAAAUUUAAUAUCUGGAGCUACAGAAGUCCAAUUAAUUCAAACUCAAUUUUCGUGGAUUUAUGACUUAAAGACCUAUCAACGAUCCAAAUUUCAGCCAAAAAAGAUGUCAUAUGAGGGAGAUAUGAUUUUUCAAAGAUGACAACUGAAUUCUGCCAGCAAACAGGUUUCGUGAAGAAACAAGUCCAAAUUACAUUCCGAAGCAUCUAAACCGACAUCCAAGUUUUUAUAUCAGUAAUUUAGCUCCUCUAAGUCAGAGCUUGAAGAUUUCAUGCAAGGCUAUUUCUCCUUUUAGGAAAAAAUAGUUAUUGAAGUACUUAAAUGUAAACUGCCAACUCAAGGAAGGACUAUUUUGUAAAAUAGAGACUAGGGUUUCUUAGCAUAUAAAAAGAAAGAGAGAAGGAGGCAGCAGCCAGCAGAAAAGAGGGAGAGCAGAAGGAGGCAGCAGCCAGCAGAGAAUAAACACAAAUUCUCUCCUCUACAAACCCAAAAAAUCAUGCUCUUUUCAUUCUUUAGAAGUAGUUGUUCAAUAGUUAUGCAAGGCUAAGCUCUUUUCUUGGUUGCAAGGACACAACAAACCUUCGGAUUUGAAGAACCGUGAGAUUUAUUCUUCCUUUUAUUUUCAGUUUAUGUUAUGAAUGAGUAUGAUUGUUUUCCUAUGCAUAUUUCCUAUGAUUGUUUUUGAUGAUUGCUAGAGCGGACUCUAAGUUAUUGUUGUGAACAAUCUAUUGCUAAGUUUAAUAUCAUAACCGGAGUUGUGAUAUAUGAACUUGUGAAGCAACUAAGCUUGAUAAUUGUGGCGGAACUACGUUAUUGAACUUAGGGAGAACAUUUGAACAAAGUGACACAAGCUGCGGACAGCUUGUAUGUUAAUCUUGAUGAAAUUAUCUAGUUCUUAAAGCUACCAUUAAAUUGAAUCAUUAGUGCGGACACUUUGAUUGUUUGUUGGUUAGGAUUAGUUAUACAGUGGAUCCGUUAAUUAAUCAACGUUAAGAAAAGAUAAAUUUCAGAACAUAAACUGCAAUUUUCGUUUCAAGGAUCGGUUCUAAUUUCCGUUGGUGGAUGUGUGCUUGCGACCAAGGUUGGUUUUCUUGAUAAGUUUCGGUUUUAAUUGAUUUUGUUUGCUAGUUUAAUUGCUGCCAUAGUUUAGAUAAUCACAAACCAAAUCCCCCCAAUUACAUAACGUACAACAUAAAAAUUUGACUUGAAACUUCCUCGUGGGAUCGACCCCUUGCUUGCUCUAUACUAUCUUGUGUGCUUUAAGCUAGGGUAAUUAAUUUGUGCGACCGUGACAUCGCAACAAAAUGAAUUUGGGAAUAACCUAAAAAUGGAUUAUGACAAAUACCAAUAGUUUGAAAGAAAUUGUUUAACUUACAAUAUUCACCACACCAAUCAUUUUGAACAGAUUUAAUUUUGUGGGAAAACUGACGCUCAACAAACACUUAAAAACGUUGAAAUAUAGAAAACACAUCGGAUUGGGCAACAAGAGGAUAAUACCAUAAAUAUUUUGUAUGCGCAUCGAUAAAGAUAACAAAGUAACGAAAACCAUCAGAGGAAAACAUAGAAGCAGAGCCCCAAACAUCAAUGAAUAUUAAAUCAAGUGGAGCAGUAGUUUUAUUACCCGUAGGUCACAAUGAUAAACACAAAGAUUUGUCAAGCGGACAAGCUUCACAUUUAACAAGAGAGCGUCUAGAAGUACACGUUAUUUUAUUUUUGAAAACUAACAAAUUAAAAAUACAGGAAGUAGGAUGACCCAAUCGAUGAUGUCAGAGAUCAGCAGUCACAAAGAUGCAAGGAGACCAAUAAGCUUGAGGAAUAGUGGUGGCAGAAGACUUAGAGAGAGCAUAUAGACCAUCAUUGCUUUGACUAGAAAGGAGCACUGCUUUGGUGGUGAGAUCCUUUACAUAAAACACAGAGGCGUGAAAUUCAAAAUAAACAUUAUUAUCACGAUAAAUUUUUUGAACAAAUAGCAAUAGUUUGGUAAUACGAGGAACAUGGAGAAUGUAAAGGUGUGUUUAGGGGAAUGUAACAUGGUAUGCCUAAUAUGGGAUAUGGAAUGACCCUUACCAUCACCAACAUGCAAGUGAUCAUUACCAAGAUAGGUUGCAAAAUCAGUUAGAGUUGCAAAAUCAAGUGUAACAUGUUGGUUCACACCAGUAUCCGGGAACCAAAUAGGGGCAGGAACAGAGCCAACAGCAAGAGGAGUAGAGGGCUGGUGGCCACUGCUGUGAAACUAAGCACAUUGUGGGGCGGUAUGUCUAAAAGAGAAGCACAUUAUGGGGCGGUAUGUCCAAAGGAGAAGCACAUCUGACACUUGAUGUUCUGCUCAAAAGGUCGGUGAGGAGGCCACUGCCCAAAACUAGCAGAGGAGUGAAAACCAUGAAAAUCAGACCUGUGCUGGCUGCUAUAUCGGCUGCUCUUGGGGUGCUAGUUGCCGCGAGAACGACCUCUGUUGCGAUUGAAAUUAGGGCUGUGCUAAUGCUGGGCAAGAUGAACAGAGGGCAGAGGAGAUGGUGUGGGCAACAGAGGUGGAUUUGCAGCCAUGGAUGGAAGGGAAGUCUUAUGCAGAAACUCAUGAGUAAAAAGAUGACUAUGAAGGUCAAGUAUGAUAGCAGUUCUGCCUUGGUCACAAUACUAGUUACCAAGUCUUUAAACUUACCACGAAGACCAUGAAAUAUGUAGAGGUUGAAGUCUUCAAGAGAAAGGGGUCAACUAAAAGCAACCAGUUCAUCAAAUAAUGACUUCGCGUGCUGCAUAUAUUGAGCAACUAAGGCAUCGCCUUGCCAAAGAUCUUGAAAAGACCCAUGGAGUUGUAUGAUACAAGAAUUCGACGAAGAAGCGAGCACUUUCUCAAGAGUGCACCAAACACAAAAAGAAGUCUAACAUUUUACCAUAAGGUGCAGUACAUCCAUGGAGAGAGAGGGGGUAACACACUUAAAAUAAGCUAAUCCUAUUGCUUCCAACAAAGAAAGGAGGGGUUGAUUGCCAAAGAGGAACCAUCAAAACUAUCAAAAACAUAAGAGGGAGGACACAACAUUGAGCCAUCGACAAAGUGGAAAACACCUUGACCAAAGAUAUGGCUUUAUCUGCAUUCGCCAAUAGAGAUAAUUGGUGUUUGUAAGCUUCAAUGAAACCACUUGCUGAGUGUUGGAUAAUGCAAUGAUAGAAGGAGUUGAUGUCCCCAUGAUGUGAAGAGGGAAAACAGAAACAUGGGAGAAGGAACCAUGGUGCUGCUCUGCAAGUGAGGGCUGCUACUGGUGUGAGAAAGAACCAUCAGCAACAACUUUUGAUUGGCUAGCUGGCUUGGCUGCACCGCUAGUAUGGUGGGGGGAGAGGGUGGCAGCAGGAGUAGAGUCUAUAAGGAGAGGGAAGAAAUAGUUGUGAUUGUAGAAGGCUCUGAUACCAAGUUGAGAAUAAUUAGGAGGCUUAACCUAUUGGUUAGCUAGCCUUUUCUAUAUAUAUGUGUACGACAAUAUACAAUAGUAAUGGUGGAGAUUACAAUUUAAGAGUAUACCAAUAAUAUUUCCUAUAUAGGUACAUUCUAUAAUACACAACUAGACCAUUAUCCCUUAAACCCUACUCCUCUUAACCCAUCUCAACCACCACCACCCAUUAAAUAAAAAAAACAACCAACCAUCAUUUUCUCUUUACCAAAUUAAAGAAAUAGACCCAUUUCCUCAUCUCUCUCGGUCUCCACGCUAUCAGCCAUCACGAACACUAACAGCUCCAACCAAUAACAACCACUUCCAAGACUCCCCGUCCACCAUAACACCACCGUCAAAAUCCAACACUAGCAGCCUUUAACCUCUUAUUCAUUUUAUUUUUCUCUAACACAAGUACAGCCAAAACCACCAAAAAAGGUAUUAACUCCUUAUGGCAACACCUAACGUCUUUCAUCUAUGAUAGCAGCAGCAACCACCUGAAGAAGUAAAGAAAAGGCAAACUGAGAUGAAGAAAGAAUGAGAGAAUGAGAUCUAAAAAAAGAAAUAAAAGUAAAAGUUAUUGUUUGUGUGUUUUUUUUCUUUGUCUUGCAGGUCAGGUGACACUCACUGUUGGCACAAGAUGAAAGAGAAGAAGAUUAUGCUUCAGAUCCACCUUGUUUUCCAUCUCUCCAGCAGCAGCAGCGCGUGGUUCCAUGCGUUGUUAGUGGAAAUGGCACCUUGAUACAAGUGUCGCCACUAUUCCUCCAACCCUAAAAUCUUCUAGCACUAUUCCCGAACUCCAACUUCUCCAAAUUAGUUUUGACCUUUGGAAGGCCUACUUUGCAAUUUUUUUAAAUUAUUGUUAGAAAUUUAAAUUUUUUGUGUUUUGUAAACAUGUGUAAUUUUUAGAUGUGCAAGUAAGAUAUAGUAAAAAAGAGAAUGUAUGUGUGUGUUGCAUUUGUUUUAUUAGUUAUUUUCAUUUUGUCAUAGAAAAGAUAAAAAGAUAAAAAAGAAUUCAUUUUUCCAAAUGUUUUAAUUGCAUACGAACAAGUCCCUCAAAAAUACAAAAAUCAUGUUUUUGCUUAAAAAGUAUAUACAUGUGUGUGUGUGUGUGUGUUUUAACAAGUUUUUACAAAAUAUAUAUUUCCGAGCAUUUUGAAUUUAAUAACUAGUUUACUAAAUUCAUGAGAAUUUGGCCAAUAUUUCAAUAACCUUUAAAAUUUUAAUUCAUGAGAAUUAAUGGUCAAUAUUGUGGUAUAAAUGUUGGACCUGCAAGUAGACUAAUAAUUAAAUAUCAAGAAUUGACUAGAAAAUUCUCAGAAUUAUUCUAAAUAUUCAUCAAUUUUAAUUGGAAGUAUUUUUCACCACAACGCACGAAUUAUGGAAAACCCUUCCGCUUUUUAGGAUAGAUGAACCCUGUUAGGGCACUUACACGAAUCAUUUCUAUAAGAAUUCAUUUGGGCACACGAGCCCAUAAUAAAUUCGAAACGCCAGAUUUAUUCACAUGAAUAAACCCUAUCCUAAAACAUAGACAAGAUAACGGUUAGGAACCCAUCAAAACCUUUAAACCAUAUUUAAACCACACAAUGCAACUUACCUCAGGUAGGGUGCCCGAGGGGUGCUAAUGUCUUCCUUAGCCACUACCAAUCCCUUACACUUAGAAUCUCUUAUAAGGCCAGUAUACUCAGGUUUUCUAGCAACCCUAAACCAAACUACUAGGUUGCAAUUCCUUGACCCCGACACAAUCAUAGCAUAGAGACUUAGUUGUGGCUUUCCCUUUAGUUAAUAACAAUAGGAAAAUAGGUUUUGAUCCCACUUCAUGGCUACACUUGAUGAGAUUAAGAUUUAUCGUUUUUAUGAUCUUGGGACGAUAUAUAUCUCAUAUUAUAUGCCUCAGAUUCCUCAGGACUUUCUAUGAAAGACCAUUUUCUUUCAGGGGUACCCUAAAGAGGACUUAAAGAUUUCAGUUGUAUAUAUCCGAUAGCAGAGCAGAAAAACAAAAGUCUCUCGGAUAGCACCCAAUUUGUGGCAGUUUCAUGUCAUCAAAAGUUCACCGAAAGGCGAUGCUUGCAAUCGUUAUGUUUCAGAAGCAAUAAUAUUCUUGUCUAUCCUUCUAGGCUAAGAUGAAAUAUGGUGGAGGUUAAAGCACAUCUUAUGUUUGAUGGGUCCCAUUUAUAAUGAAGGUUUGGGAAAGAUCAAGAAAAGGUAUAUACUCAGAGCAUUUCCCAUUGUUUCCCUUUUUCUGUAAAAGAUAUGUGUAAAUCAAUGCUUCAAAGGGAGGCGUCCCCUUCUCAUUUUCAUAGGAGAUAAGAUAUUUAUACUAGAUACACUUGUUCACAUAUGUAGCUCGGAUUGGGAAUCAUGCUUUUCCUUAACUCUUCAUCGACUAUCAGCUUAGUUAAAGAUUUGUGAAGGAAAUUUUGGUUAUAGAAUUCACAAAUGAUCCAAUCAUGGUCAUGAUCGCUGAUGUUCUUAGAUAUAUUGUAAAUUUCUACUUUUUUUCCUAAGCUAUUGUUUUACCUUGAACUCCGUUUAUUCUUUCUUAAUCCAAGACGCUCCCCAUGGCUCAUCAUUUUAUCCCUGUGCUCAGGACAAUUCCAAAAUGAGGUGAUAAUUCUAAACUCGAAAUUAUUCAGUGAAAUCACACCUUGAAGAGCUUAAAAGCAUUUGAACAGCAAAUUAAUUAUGUAUUUUUCGUAAACAGACUAUAUAUAUGGCCUACCACAUAUUUUCAUGUACUAGUAAGACAUGUUUUGGCCCAAGAAAAAGCAUGAUCACGCAAGACCAGAGUAGUAAUUCUACAUGUUGUUUUCCAAUUAAAAACCACUCAGUAGUUAUUGGAGCAUUGGAUCUCCAAAAAUUAGGCUCAUGAGUUAUUAUUUGGGUUAAUUUUGUUAUUUUUUCUUAAUUUUGCAGAUUUUAUGUUAUUUCCCGUUAUGUUUUGGGAUUUUGAUUUUGUUUCCAAUCUUGGUCCAUUUUUCUAGCCUAUAAUAGGGAUUGUAAACCUCUCUAGGAGGUAGACUUGAUCACAUAAUAUUUUAGAAAUAAAAUAAGGUUUUGGGAUUCUUUUGUGUUUUAACAUAUUUCAGUUUAUCUUCUGUCUUUGCAUGCUUGCAGCUAGUUGAAGUUAAGGGAGAAGGAGUAUUGGAAAAUAUUAUGGAGGCUGUGAUAUGUGAUUAGCAGCACUCCCCUUCUGUAAUAUAUAUAUAGAUGUAGGGUUGUACAUGAUACUAACCAUGUAGUCUAAUACACAUGAUCAGAAACCUAUAUAAGGUAAAUACAAGAUAAAUAUAUAUACAUAAUAACAUUCCAUAAUAUGCCCCCUCAAGCUGAAGGAGGAGAAUCCACAUGAAGCUUGGACCGAAAAUAAGUGAAGGACGCAUGAGGAAGAGGUUUGGUAAGCACAUCAGCAAGUUGAUCCUGGGAGGAGAUGAACCGAACUGCAAUUUCCUUUUUAGCAACGCGAUCACGAACAAAAUGAUAAUCGACCUCAACAUGCUUAGUGCGAGCAUGAAAGAUAGGAUUAACAGACAAGUAGGUAGCACCCAAAUUAUCACACCAAAGGAUAGUCAUAGGAUCAGAGGAAAAAUGAAGAUCUGACAGCAGAGCCCGAAUCCACAAAAUCUCAGCGGUACCAUCCGCAAGAGCCUUAUAUUCCGCUUCAGUCGAUGAACGAGCCACUGUGCGUUGUUUUCCAGAUUUCCAAGAAAUAGGGGUGCUGCCGAGAUAUACCACGUAGCCACCGGUGGAUUUUCUGUCAUCAAGACUACCAGCCCAAUCAGCAUCUGUAAAACCAUGUAAGGAAAGAGAGGACCCCCGAGUGAUGUGUAGACCAUAAGAUGCCGUUCCUUGAAGGUACCGGACAAUUCUUUUAACAAGAGACCAAUGACCAUCGGUAGGCGAGUGCAUAAACUGACAGACUUUAUUUACAGCAUAACAUAUAUCCGGGCGAGUAAAAGUGAGAUACUGCAAAGCACCAACAAUCUGUCGAUAACGGGUAGGAUCAGAGUAUAGAGUAUCUGAGGUUUGCAAUAGCUUAGAUGAGGAUGAAGCAGGCGUGUCAGCAGCUUUACACAAAGACAUACCGGCUCGCCUAAUGAUAUCGAGAGUAUAUUUAUGCUGUGAGAGCAUAAGUCCCAUGGCAGUUUUGGUGACUUCAAUCCCCAAGAAAUAAUGCACAGAGCCUAAAUCCCUGAUUUUGAAUUCGGAAUUCAGUAAGAUAAUCAAGUGGCAUAACAGAGUUGAAUUGUUCCCAGUAAGCAGAAUGUCAUCCACAUACACAAGCAAGUAAAUGAGAUCAUGGCCAUCAGAGUAAAUAAACAUAGAGGUGUCAGCAGUAGAGGCACGAAAACCAAGAGAAAUGAGAUAAUCACUGAGUCUGGUAUACCAUGCCCGGGGAGCCUGUUUUAAACCAUAGAUAGAUUUAUGCAGGUGACAAACAUGAGAUGACAGAGUAGGGUGAGAAAAACUAGGUGGUUGCUCCAUAUACACCUCUUCUUGAAGAAUCCCAUUCAAGAACGCAUUGUGAACAUCAAGCUGAUGAAUAAACCACCCACGGGUCACAGCAAUAGUAAGUACUAACCUCACAGUCGCAGGCUUAACAACUGGACUGAAAGUCUCAAGGUAGUCUAUUCCUUCUUGUUGAGUGAACCCUCUAGCCACAAGACGGGCUUUAUACCUGUCAAUACUACCAUCCGCUCGCCGCUUGAUUUUAUAAACCCAGCGACUGCCAACAACAUUCAUAGAGGAACAAUAAGGAACUAGAGUCCACGUACCAUUUGAUUGCAAAGCCCGAAGCUCAUCUUGCAUAGCUUGCUGCCAUGCCGAAUGUUGAGAGGCGUCUUUGAACGUGAGAGGUUCAUGUUCAGGAGAAGAAGAACUCACGGUAGCAGGGGACUGAACAGGACAUAUAUUAGCAGAUGACGGAGAUACACUAAGAUGCGCCUGUUUGGGCCGGCGAGGACGAAGUGUCAUGUGGUGGCUGCGAGAGGAGUCAGCUGGCAAAGUUGAGGAACUAUGAGAAACCUGCUGAAGAUCAAAAUUAGAUAAAUCAACUACCAGAGGCAGGGCAGGAGGAGAGCCAGAGGAAGAGCUCGAUGUGGGACUGCCAGGAGGCCGAGAGGAAACCACAAUAGGAGAGGAGGCCGCUGACAAUGGGAUCACCGUACCUGGAGAAACAGACACCAUACUUGGAGAGUGAUCAGUAGUAGAGUAAGGUGGAGAUGAAGUAGAGGGACUGUUACUCAUGGGACAAGGUGGAGGAGAGGAGGCAACAGCCCUGUGAGCAAGCGUUGGAGAAGGUGGCAGAAAUAGGGUAGAUGGAGAAGGCAUGGGAGUAGGAAAAACGGUGAAGGCGGGGAGGGCUGUUUGUAGAGAUGGAGAAGGCAAGGCAGUUGUCUGUUCAGAACAUGCAAAAGGAAAUGUAUUUUCAUGAAAUUUAACAUGUCGUGCAAUAUACAUACGAGAUGAUGACAAAUCAAAACAACGAUAACCCAAAUGAGAGGAACUAUAGCCAAGAAAAACACAUGGUGAAGAGCGAAAAUCUAGUUUAUGUCGGUUAUAAGGACGAAGUAAAGGAAAACAUAGACACCCAAAAAUACGAAGAAAAUUGUAAUCAGGGGAAGAUUUAAACAAACGUUCAAAAGGUGUACAACCAUUUAGAACAGCAGUAGGCAUACGAUUUAUGAGAUAGACAGCUGUUUCAAAAGCAUAACUCCAAAAUUUUAACGGAGCCUUACACUGACCAAGAAGCGUAAGACCAGUUUCAACAAUAUGACGAUGACGACGCUCAACAGUACCAUUUUGUUCAUGCAUGUGAGGACAUAUUAGACGGUGAUGAAUGCCAAUGGUUUUAAAAUAUGUGUUUAACUUCCUAUAUUCACCACCCCAAUCUGUUUGGACGGAUUUAAUUUUGGUGGUGAAUUGUCGUUCAACAAGAGCUUGAAAUUGAAGAAAAAUUUUAAACACAUCAGACUUAGCGGCUAAAGGAAAAAACCAGAUAUACUUAGUAUAAGCAUCCACAAAAAUCACAAAAUACCGAUAACCAUCAGUAGAUAACAUAGGAGAAGGUCCCCAAACAUCACUGAAAACAAGCUCAAGAGGAGCACAAGUUUUAUGACCAGUAAGGCCUAACGACAGACGCGAUGCUUUUCCUAAAGGACAAGAUGAACAAUUAAAAUUAAAAACUCUUGAAGUACAUGCAACUUUAUUAUUUGAUACUAGAGACCCUAAAAUACGAGAGCUAGGAUGCCCAAGGCGACGAUGCCAAACAUCAGCAGUGGAGGACACAGACGUUGAUAGGAAAGCUUGAGGUACGGACGUUGCAGAAGACUUGGAUAAGACAUAUAGACCAUCGCUACUCUGACCGGAAAGGAGCACCUCCUUGGUUAUUAGAUCCUUAACAUAAAACACAGAUGAAUGAAAUUCAAAAAAUACAUUAUUCUCAAUGCAAAAUUUCUGAACAGACAAUAGCGGUUUUUUAAUAUGUGGUACAUGCAGAACAUUUGAUAGGAUAAAAGUGCGUUUAGGAGUAUAGAGUUUAGAUUGAGCAAUAUGUGAUAUAACCAGUCCCUUACCAUCACCGACAUGUAAUUGAUCACUGCCAAGAUAUGGCUUUGAACUCGUCAUACUAGCGAGGUCCGGUGUCACAUGCUGAUUAGCACCCGUAUCAGGAAACCAACCUGCAGAGGAGAGCUGAGGAUUCUGAAAUGCCAAGUUAGCAGUAGCCUGCAAAUGCUGUGAGGUAAAUUGAGAACAGUAUUUGGCUGAAUGCCCAAAACCAUAACACAAUUGACAUUUAACAUUUCGAAAAAUUUGGUUGGAGUUAGAAACUCCACGGGAAUACUGCUGCCAACCAGUCCCAGACUCACGGGAACCAUGAUGAAAACUAGACCCAGACAUCUGCUGCCAACCAGAUCCAGAGGUGCCAUGGUUACCACCACGGUAGCCUCUCCAUCCACCUCGAUGGCGCCCACGCCCACGAUAGGAAUGGCCAGAAGGACCACCAAAACUACCACGCUGAACUGAGAAUACUGAAGCUGUGGAAUGUGAAGGUGUGGGCAGCAGAGGUGCUGUCAUAGGAGAGCCAAGAGUGGAUUGAAGGGAGCUCUUAUUCAGGUAUUCGUGAGUGAGCAGGUAACUGUGAAGAUCAGAGUAUGAUAAGGGUUCUGCUCGUGUAGACAAACUGGUCACUAAGUCUUUGAAAUCACUGCGCAAACCCCGAAAUACAUAAAGAUUAAAAUCCUCUAAGGAGAGAGGCCGACCAGCAGCAGCCAACUCAUCAAAGAGAACCUUAGCUCGCUGCAGAUAAGUGCUAACUGAAUCAUCUCCCUGACGCAAAUCCUGAAAGGAACCAUGUAACUGCAUAAUCCUUGAAUGUGACGGUGAAGCAAAGGAUUUUUCAAGUGUCUGCCAUAUGCUAUGAGAUGUGUCACAGUCAACCACAAGAUGUAGAAUUUCAGUAGAUAAAGAAGAGAGGAGUGCACUCAUAAUUAACUGGUCUUGUUGCUUCCAUGAGAGAAAGAAUGGGUUUAUACCAGGAGCUGCUGUAUCGGUGGCAGUAACAUAGGGUGCAGGACAAGGAUAAGAUCCAUCAACAAAAGCAUACACACCCUGACCCAACAAAUAUGGUUUUAUUUGCAUUCUCCAGUACAAAUAGUUAUUGGUGGUCAGUUUCAAGGAGAUAACCUGAUGAGUAUUUGAGAGAGGGACUACAGCAGCACCAUGAAGAUGUGUGUUGGGAACAAUUGAUGCUGCAGAGGGGAGUCCUGGCAGUACCGAAACAAUUGGUGUAGAGGAAGGUAUUGCUGCCAUUGUUAGAGGAAAGCUGCAACCAAUAGAAGGAAUAGAUGCAGACGCAAAAAAUCCAGGAGGAGCCAUUGAAAAACCUGACGCAGGUUGCAUAAGUGAAGAAUUGGCAGGGAGAACAGGGAAUGCUGCAGCUGGCAUGUUUGUUGUAAGAAGAGAGGAAGAUUGAGCUGUAGUAGAAUCCAUGAGAAGAAGAGGGAGGCGCCGAUGGAAGCUCUUUUGAAUAUAAUGCUCUGAUACCAAGUUGAAGUUAAGGGAGAAGGAGUAUUGGAAAAUAUUAUGGAGGCUGUGAUAUGUGAUUAGCAGCACUCCCCUUCUGUAAUAUAUAUAUAGAUGUAGGGUUGUACAUGAUACUAACCAUGUAGUCUAAUACACAUGAUCAGAAACCUAUAUAAGGUAAAUACAAGAUAAAUAUAUAUACAUAAUAACAUUCCAUAAUACAGCUAUAUUGUUGUGCUUCCCACUGCAUUAAUCUUUCAAUAUUUCAUGCUAAGUAAUAGGUGAAUAAAGUGAUAAUCAGGGAAGCAGAGAGAUAUUUAUGACAAUGCAUGCUUGACCAGCCAAAUAGAAAAUUAUGAUAUAUAAAUCACAGAAAUUUUAUUUGAAGUAAGAAAAAGCUCCUGACUCGAGUUCUAGCAACCUCUCCUCGUCUACGUUUAGCAGAGGGAGAAUAUCGUACAGGACUAAAGGUAACACAACUGGAGGAGGUUAUGCAUACAAGAAAGCUAACUGAUUAAUCGCUAGGUCUUUAAAACGGAACUGGUUUCCCCUUAGGAUAAUCGACAUAAACCCUCCCCUUGUAGCGUUGAGCUGCCUCGUUGCUGUCGAUAACUUCUGUUGCAUAGUAAUAUGUGGGAUGAGUAUAGGGAACCUUCAUAACUGGUGGCCG
rnacentral:lncRNA from 1 species